rnacentral:lncRNA from 1 species
UUACUUGUCCUUUAUACUAAAAUGUUCACUUUCACUUGUUGUUUUUAUCCUAUCAAAAGAAAACAUAUUUCUUUUACAUGUUUAUCGUUAACAUUAAUUACUUAUUCACAAAAAUAUUAUAAUAAAAUACAUAUAUUAAUAUUUUUUAAGAGAUAUGUAAAAUUCAAAAUAGAUAGUAAGAAAUAAUGUGCAAAGGGAGUAUUUAAAAACAUUACAAUAAAAAUAAUAAUCUGAAUCUCAAAUUAAAAAAAAUAUCAAAUAAAUUAGUAUAUACGGAGAAAUAUUAGAGAGGAAACUCCUUUUAACUAGUAUAAUCCCAAAUUAAAUUUGCUACACGUAUAACAUUAGUAGAUGUAGAAAGAAUCUAAUUGUAAAUAACAGAGGGAUGUGUUAUAUAUGAGAACUUGGACGAAUCUAGGUAGAAGGUUCCGAAUAUCCUUGUAAAAUAAUAAAUAAUAAAAUUUCUUUGACAAGAAUUGAAACUUUCAGCUCUACUUCUUGCUAAUUAUUAAAGUUAUUGAUCUUUUUCUUUAGGCAUUUUUUUCUUUGAAUUUGAUCCUGUCUCCGCCAUCUGCAAGUAAAGCCAACCAAUUUGGAAAUAUAAUAGUAUAUAUAUUUUUUUUCAAUUUAUUUGUCUCUCUUUUUUAAAUUAGUAAAGAAAAACUUUUCUUUUGAUAACUUUUUAGUUUUGAUUUUCUAGAUAACAAAUUAUUUCAAAUUAUAAGAUUAAAAAAUAUUUUGAUAAAUUUCAUAUUCGUUACUUUUUUGAAUUUUGUAAUAAGACAAAUAAAUUGAAACGGGGAGAGUUAAUGAGCGAGGAAAGUGGAAAUGCAUGCAUAAGCAAAGGAGGGAAUGAACGGUUGGGAAUAAUAUGGAGAAUGGAGCCAAAUGGUGUCUGUCGUUGCAAAAAUAUCUUAUCCUGCAUUGCACUGCACUGCACCAAAAGACUGAAAAGAGACACCUCCUCCCUAUAUUUUGUUUUAACAGUUUUCUGCUCCCACCAAAAGCAAUCAUCUUAAAAAACACGCACGUCAUCCCCUCUACAUAUAUAUUUAAUAUUAUCACACUAAAAACAAUAAUUCUAUGUACUAGUACUUAUUACAACAUUGAAAGAGUACCGUUGAAAAUUUCUCAUUAAAAAGAGAAUAAACAACGGUGAUCUAUCACAUUUUAGUGGGGCAUAGAAUGUGAUCAUACUUUCUUUUUUUCAUUUCCUCCAAUAACAUAUUGAAGUUCGACUACAUUUAGAUGGCAGGUUGCAAGACCUAGAACACAAAACUUUCAAUAAGAUUCUUUUCAUAUUCAAAACUCCGACCUGAGAGAACCUGACAAAUGGUUGCCUUAAGUUAUUUUAUAUGCAAUUCCAUGAACAUGCACUUGGCAUGAAUAGCUUUUGUUGUUCCUUUUAUUUUCUUUCUUCUUAUACACGCGCACUAUCUGUAAUAAAGUUAAAAGUAAAGCAACGGACGAGAAAGAAAACAGAAUGCACCAAAGUAUUGUAGUAUUUAUACUCCAUAUUUUAAAUACAAAUAAUAUAUCUAUCUAUACUAUAUUAUAAACAUGAAUAUCCGUUGUUUGAACCUUCAUUAAAAGACUUCGUUUUAGAUAAAAUUAUCUUUUUACAAGGUGCACUAGAUUUUUUUUAUAUACAUUUCUCGACAAACAAAUAAAAUGAUUCUAAUAUAUUUUUAACGUUAUUUACAACUUACUGUAAUAAGUGUAAGUUGUAUAUUUCCGUUGAGAUUCCUGGAGGAACACCAGUUUGGCUAAAGUAUUUGAGGUUAAAAAUGAAUUGAAGUUGGGGAAUAAAAUAUAUAGCACGUGAACAACGUCCGACACAUCAUCUUCUUCAUACCAUAAUCACGUGCUCUUUUAUCAUACUACCUCACGUAAAUGUCUUCUAAAAUAUUUUCAUCGAAAAUUACGACAUCUCGGUAACCACAGUGUCCAUAUGAAACGCAAAAAAUAUUUGUUGCCUACCAUCGACACUAGUUGUGUGAAACUUUUCUAUCUCACAAUUUGGUGAACACAACAUUAUAAGGUUUGGGUUGACCAAUUUGUGAGACGGCACACUACUAGGGUUAGUAGUAAGAAACACAACGUAAUUUUACUCUCUACAGGCAAUCAUUUGAAUUAUUUUUCUCAACUUCCUGUUCUCUGAGUAGGCAGCACAUAGAAGCCCAUCUCUUGGGACCAACCAUCUAAACAUUGUUCAAGGUUUGAAAAGGUACUCAGAUGUCAGUAUGGUAUUUUGUGAGGAAGAUUCUCAACAACAACAUAAACUUUGGAACCCAUUUUUGCACCAUAGUUUCCAUCCAUCACCAAAACAAACAGCUAUACUAAGAGGAACUGAUUUGCAACAACAAUUAUUACAAUAAAUGGCAAUUGUAAGGAGAGAGCACUGGAAAAUGAACAAAACUUCAAUCUCUUUAGAACUAUAAAUGGAUCAUCCAGAUCCAAAUUGGGCAAGUCCUAUCAUGGUUUCAUAUAACUUUUCCAUGAAGACCCCAUUGGUACGAAAGGAGUAAUUGCGGUGACAUAGCCACUUGAGUCUAUGACCAUGGACGUUUACUUUACAGAUACUCAGCUUGCCAUACCAGAAAUCUAGUUCAAGAUAAUGCUCUAUUUCAUUCACAGAUUGGUACGAAAUAGAGCCAUCUUAACAAUCAAAAUACAAGGGAAAGUACAAAUAAGAGCAUUCACCAACACCCUUUAUUUUGUGGAUUACUUUAUAAGAAAUUUCAGCUUAUAUUUGACGAAAAAACUCAGCGAUAGAGACUUUCAGAUCUCAGAUUCUCUGCAAUCUCAGUUUCCCAUCGAUCUCCAUUCUCAAGAAGUUUCUCCUUGUCGUAAAGGAGUUCCUGAUGCAUGCAAUUUAUAUUAGUCAAGGUAUGUAACAGUAGAAGUUCAUUUAUUUCAAAUUUUUUGCUAAUAUAAUUAUUACAACGGACCUCAUGAGUUUCAGUUGCAAACUCAAAGUUGGGCCCCUCAACAAUGGCAUCAACAGGGCAGGCUUCUUGGCAGAAUCCACAGUAGAUGCACUUUGUCAUAUCGAUAUCAUACCUGUAAUCGUUGAUAUAGACAUGAGCAUGGAUGUCCAAGUAUCUAAUGGGACAUCAGCUAACUGAUAAAAGUGUACCUAGUUGUUCGACGACUGCCAUCUUCUCGCUCUUCGGCCUCGAUUGUGAUAGCUUGAGCAGGGCAAAUCUGUUAAAAAUCCCAAUUCAUUUGCAUCAGUAACAUAGGUAAUCAUAUACUUCAACAUGUAGAAUGCUAGCAAUAUCACCCACACAAGUCUUAAAAUAAGUAGAGCACUAUAGCAGUAUAUAUUCCCUAAUAUCUCUUUUGUAAAAAAAAACACAAAGAAGAUAUAUAUAAUCCACCCUAAGAAAAGCUUCUUUUUAGGUUGAACUGCUAAAAAACAGUGCCAAUUGGGGGUGGCACAACAGUUUUAUCACGUUUAGUUCACUUAAUCUUAGUUUUCAAAUAGACAAACUGAUUAUGAGAUUAUUUACACAGUUCAAAACAUUAUUGUGCUUCCAUAAAGAAUAUAUUGUUGUACAGAUUUCCCCAUUACGCAUAUAUUGUCAACUUGAGCUUAAUCAACAUACUACCCAAGAUCAGGACCCUUGAUCUAGAAAAGAGGGAGUUCAGUCAAGCAGUUUCUGUGAUCUUACAGUUUAUUAUCUAAAGCACAUAUUUCACUACUAUUCUUCCUAUUUUAAUUAUAAAGAAACUGAGAAUAUAUUUGUGAAUAGCAGAAGCAAAUCAACGUGCCUGCCUCUGUACUUCUAUAUAUAUAUAUAUUCUCAUGGUAUCAGAUAGCCAGAAAUCCAUCUAAUUUCUUCUCUACGACAUGGCGUCUUCAUCUUCCACUACACCAGUCGUUCCUUCUAGCGUCAUUACUAUUCCAGGUUCAAGUGUUCCUUCUAGCGUUACUGCUAUUCCAGGUUUAAGUUUUCCUUCUAGCGUCAGUACUAUUGCAGGUUCAAGUUUUCCUUUCUUUGGUCUGCCUCCUCCCGUUAGCAUAGAUUCUCAGACUCUACCAAAUUUCAAUUCUGUUGCUGCUCUUGCUACCCCUAAUGUCACCAAUUUAGUGACCAUUAAGUUAGGUUCUGUGGAGGACUACCUCACAUGGCGCACUCAGUUCACCUCUCUACUACUUUCCCACGAGCUUAUGGGGUUCGUUGAUGGCUCAAUUCCUCACCCUUCUCCUCUUCUUGGUGAUGCAUCUGGCAAUCACCAACCAAAUCCUCUCUAUCGCUCUUGGAUAAAAAUUGAUCAAAGUGUCCGUUCUUGGUUAUUCGCAACACUAUCUCGUGACGUUCUUCUUGAUGUUCAUCUCCUUCCUACAUCUAGAGAUAUAUGGUUAUCCUUACAUCGACGCUAUAUGGAUGCGAGUCCGGCUAAAUCUAUUGAGUUGAAACGCCAACUCACUACCCUGCGAAAGGAUGAUAAUAUGAGUAUUGAUCAGUACCUUCGCAUUGCCAAACAAAUAGCUGAUUCUCUUGCAGCAAUUAAUUCACCCGUCCCUUCUCAGGAUUUCAUUGAUCAUGUUUUACUUGGCCUUGGAAAAGAGUAUGACACCUUGGUUGGCAUCAUUACACAUUUUCCUGGUCACUUAUCGCUUGAAGAGCUUCGUACCAAACUUUUACUUCAUGAGCAAAGGUUGCAGCGUUUCAAGGAACUUGACUCGCCAAUUACGCAUCAAGCAUUUGCUGCGCAUUCUGUUUCUACAACUACUCAAGACUCUGACUCUCAGUUUGGUUCUGGUCGUGGCCGAGGUUGAUCUUCUUCCAGAAGUCGUGGCCGUGGUGGCAAAGGUCGUGGCUUUGGUGGUCGUGGGCAGCAACCACAAACUUCGUUUGUUUCCAUCCAUGAAAGAAUGGAAGUAGUUAGUAGCUAACCCAGAAUGCAAGAAGUCACACACCUCAAUGAAGCAGUAGAAGACCAACACUAACAUCAUAAUAACCCAAAUCUCAACAAACAGAGAACAACGACAGACACAGGUCCGAAUUAGUAGUGUGUAAACAUAAAUUGCAGUACAAUCAUAGUAGGUCAGCACUUACAGCUUCACAAAGUUUACAUGCAAUGCAUCUUUCCUCUCCUGUGGCAUAACGUCGCAGGGCGUGUUCUCCACGGAAACGAGGGCUUAAAGGCCCCUUUUCAAAAGGAUAGUUUAUCUGCAAUAUAACGGUAUUUGAUUUGCUACUCAAAAAGGUAAAGUCUGAGAGGUUAGCAUAUCAAAUGCUACCACCGAAGAUGAGUUGAAGACUGUCCAAUUGGCAAUCGAACAAAAACUUUUAAAGGUAAAAAGCUAGUGGAAGCAUGAGAGACUUACAGUCACUUUCUUUUCAAAGAAGUACUUGAGCGUCAACAUCAGACCUCGAACCAUUUCAGUCAAAAAGAGUGUGUUUAUGCUUCGCUCAAAGACUGCAUUUAGUCAAAAAAAUCAGAAACAGGAAAUGCCAAAGGCAUCGCUAGGGGAAUUUAAAUGCUACACAGAGUCAGAAUUCUUUAAAAGGAUUUACCUGAAUUCCAAUCUUUUGAUAGUUCCUUUGCUAGCUGCUCUCUUUCUUCAUCAUCUGACAUGAAAGAAAAAGCAAUGGACCAUGGAAGUAAGUUAUACUGAGGAACCCCAAAAUAAGGCACUAAAAGACCCAGGCGACUGAUAACAAAGCAAUGACUUUCAGUUGAGUAGUACUAACUACUUUCUAUUAUGAACUUUGAGUUGAGGAGUACUAACUACUUCGUCAUCGGAGUAAAUUAUUGCUCCGAAUCAUUUAGAACCUCCUAUUAAGACCCUCAAGAAUUGGUUUUCAUAUACCCCAGCGUUUACUGAAAAAAAACCAACAUACUCAUGGUGCAGUGCCAAUCUAGAAUAAUAAUGUGCAACAGAAAAAAUGGGGCAAUCUGCCAUUAAAUAGAAUCCUAUGCACGCAUGCGACUGAUUUCCUCACUCAAAGUGCAUUCAGUGCUUGAAUAUUUGGAAAGACGAUUUUAUGUUUCAUCUUAUCUCUGUUGAAGGUUAUAUAUUUUUAGCAAAGUCUACAUCUUUACACAUGCAGCAAAUGAUGUUACCUUCUCCAAUAUGCAUCGGGUUCCAACAUGUUGGACAAGUAUUCUGAUAGCCUAGCCUUCUAAAUCCAUUUAGAAUUGCAAAUGGAUUUCCCAACAGGUGAUUAGACGGCAUAAUAGACAGGUGUUUCUACUUGCAAGAAUUUGCACGGUCCCAUUCAGAAUAACUAUGUACCAUGUUACGAGCUAUUUUGGUUGUAAUAUUAUCUUAGCCACAAUAGAAAUUGGAUUGCGGACAUUAAUACUAUAGACAUGAGCAAAACAAGAAUAUCAUGCGCAAGAUGAUGCUUGACCUACUUUUCUCUCAAAAUCUUCCAUGGAAAGUAAUACUCAUUUCAAAUAUCAGAAAAGGUUCUAGUGGUCUUAUAAUCUAAUUAUUUAACCCGAAAAAAAUAAAAUAUAUGACUGAGGUCCCCAACAAAUUCUAAACAUCCCAUAUUUCCUACUCCUCCCUUGGUAAUUGUGCUCAUCUAAGUGAGCAACCCAGUAGGAAGGGAAGGUACUACGUACCACACUGUGUAACAUUUACAUCCCCACUAAAGCUCAAAAGUUAUUCCAGUGAGCUACAAUCUUUUCUCUACAGCUACAUCAUCCACAUACAUGCUUCACAUGCUAAGAGACUCACGGCAAAGGGUGGUGGAUUUGGGUAGGGGGGCUGGAGAGCGCAAUACAAACCUUUGUCGGUUGAAAACGAAUGCUUGGUAGCAAAUGAUCGAGUACCAAGUAGAGUUCCAUUAGGUGUAUUAGUCCCUUGCCAUGCUUGUCCAGCCAAAACCUACAGUUCCCACAGAAAGAAAAAAGUGUCAAACCAUUCUAUUAAGCCAUAAGAUAUGGAAUGCACAUAUACAUACACAUACAUAUACAAGGAACCAUACUGACCAAGAACCUACAACAUAGUAAAGUAACAGCAGACUCUCGCAUCUCCGGAUAAAGUUUCUCAACAGACACAAUGUAAAGUUUAAGAGGUUAAAAAAGAAGGAAAUGUUUUUAAAAUGGUAAACCCACACCAAACCCCCUCCCCCACCCCACAGGAUAUCCAACAGUAGUACAGUACAGCUUUCCCACUUUGCCUUGUAAUGUAACUCUGAACCCUCAACCUUAUUAUAGAAAACGGAUGUCCUUACCACCAAGAUAUCCAUCACUUGUCAAAAGCAAAUACACAUAGUAUAAGAGAGUAAAAGUACUGGCAUCCAUAAUGUUGAGCAGUUGACUAGGGAAAGCCUGAAUUGUAAUCCAUCACUCAGCAUCUCCUCCAUAAACAGCAAUUUCUACACAUUUCUUUCUCUUUAACCUAUCUAACCCCGUCAGUCCCUACAAGUAUUUAAGCUAACCCGUACAAGAAUUAUUCCAAAUUUAUCUUCUUGCGAUUUGAAUCGGGCAAUAGAAAGACAAGACGAGACGGAGAGUAGAGUGGGGAACAACAAAUUGUGCCCUAAAGAGUAAAGACGCCCCAUAUUCUUAUCCAAAAUGAGAGUCUCCCUCCAACACCCAAAUCCAUCACAACACUAAUUUUCAAACAUGAGGUCGUUUCCAUAACCUUGUCUAAUUGCAAACCUAAUGCCUAGGAAAGUUAAUACCGAUGAAAUUGAGUGUCCAAACGGUUUAAUUGAUAUCAGUAAAGUUAGGGUUCAAGAAACCAUUCUGACGAGAAAUUGAGUCUGAAACAACUGGAGAUGUAAGAAUUAAAUGAUGAAAAGAAAGAGAUAGAGAGAGACUUACAAGCUGACGAGAACGAAGAGCAGAUAAAGACUUGCGAGCUAAUAUAGCGGCCAUUGGAGUCCAGAUGCGAGAAAACCAAAAGCGAUUGGCCAAUAACUGAAAUGUUCCGCUUACACCUAUUAUACUCGAUCGGUUCACCGGCUUAUGAAACCGUCUCAACAUCCUACGGAGUAUUUAUUUUCUUUUCGGAAAAGGGUCAAAAAUACCCUUAAACUAUUCGAAAAGGCUUAAAUAUAUCCCUCAUCCACCUAUUGGGUUAAAAAUACCCCUCAGUCCACCUUUUUGGUGCAUUUUUACCCUUAAAACUAACACUCUUUUAUUUUUUUAAUUAUUUUUAUUAUUAUUUAUUACGUGGCAUCUUCUAAUUGGAUAAAACUAAAUUCCUACCCAUUAAAUUUUCCUUCAUCCGCCCCGACCCAUAUCUAUAGCCCCAUCACCCAAACUCAAUUUAAAGACCCUUUAAAAAAAACAUCUCUUUCUCACUAAAGCUAUUUCAGAAUCACCCAUCAACUACAAGAAGAAGCAUUUUCAGAUACUUCAACUGCUGUGUGAAAGCUUGAAUUUGAUUAGGAUUGAUUUUUGAGUAUUUUUCUAACUUUGCUGUAAGAUAAUGUUUCAAGGUUACUUUAUGGUAACUCUUCUAAGAAAUAUCAACUUAUUCUGGCUUUUGAAGAUUGUGAAAAAAAGAAGAAGCUAUUUUAGGACCAAGUUAAAGAAUUAAGCAACUUCAUUUGAUGUAUAUGUUAUAGAAAAUUAGUGCAUCUUACUUAUUUAAUUAAAUAUCUACUGGUUUGCCUUGGCAAGACUUAGUCUUUGUUUCUGUUAUGUUAUUUAGGUUUGAAUAAGUAUUUUAGGAGCUAUUUUAGGAGCAGGUUGUUUAGCUUAUUUUCUGGAGAAGUUUGUUAACUUUUAGCUUAUAAAUUUCAGAUGUAAUGUUUCGUUUCUCUUUAGGAAAAUAAAAAGAGUCUUAUUCCCAAAUAUCUUCAUCUUCUGCUUUCUAUUUUUUGUUUCAUAUGUUUCUUUCUUAAAAACCACGUAUCAGCAAUUCAUGUCUCUGUCAAUUUUUGGUAUCAGAGCUUCGUUACAGUAUUUGAAGUUGUGGAGUUAUGGAGUUAUCAAAUGCAGGAAACAAUUCCACAUCAGGAAUUGAGAAGCUUGUAGGGACGAACUACAAUUAUUGGAGAUUGUGCAUGGAGGCAUAUCUUCAAGGACAAGAUCUGUGGGAUUUAGUUACAGGUGUUGAUGCUAUUCCUGCUGAUAAUCCAGAAAAUGUUGAACCAAGGAGAAAGUGGAAGAUAAAGUGUGGAAAAGCUCUCUUUGCUCUGAGAUCCUCAAUUAGCAAAGACUUCAUUGAUCAUGUUCGUGAUGUAAGUUCACCCAAUGAAGUAUGGGAGACACUUGAAAGAAUAUUUUCCAAGAAGAAUACAGCAAGGCUACAGCUGUUGGAAAAUGAGUUGGCGAGCAUAACACAAGAAGGCAUGUCUAUUUCUGAAUAUUUUCUGAGAGUGAAAAGCAUUUGUGCUGAAAUUUCAGAAUUAGACAUGGAUGAGAAAAUUAGUGAAGCAAGGCUGCGGCGAUUUCUCAUUCGGGGACUGAAGAAAGAAUAUAACCCCUUUGUCACUUCGAUCCAAGGAUGGGCGACACAGCCGUCAGUUGAGGAAUUAGAAAGCUUGCUUUCUAACCAAGAGGCUCUAGCAAAACAAAUGGCAAAGAAUUCGGAUUCAGAGGACGUUCUUUUCUCAAAAGGAAAAUCUGACAGCAUACGUUAUCCAAAUAAAAGCACAAUUAAAUGCUACAGAUGUGGCCAAAUUGGGCACAUUAAGAAGAAUUGCCGAGUAAAGCUUUCUAGAGCAAAUAUUGCAGGUGAGCUGGAAGAUGAUGAUGAAAUAAAAUGGGAGCAAUGCUUUACAACAGAAGAAAUUGACGGAACAAACAAGACUAGUGCUGAGUUGCUACAAGCUCUCUCCAAUCAUGAAUCAUGCAGAGAGUGGAUCAUCGAUUCAGGUUGCUCUCAUCAUGUAACCGGAGAUGACUCACUACUUUCCGAAGCUCGCCAACACAGGGGAGAGAGAGUGAUUGUUACUGCAGACAAUUCAACUUAUCCAGUAGCAAAAGAAGGGGUGAUAAAGAUUAGCACUAACGACAACAAUGCUAUCAGGCUGAAUGAUGUUUUUCAUGUUCCAGGUUUGAAGAGAAAUUUAAUUUCUGUGUCUCAAAUUACAAACUCUGGAAAAUAUGUCUUGUUUGGACCAAAUGAUGUUAAAGUUCUUGCAAAUGUAAAAACCAUAGAUGCUGAUGUUGUUACCUCUGGAGAGAGGAAAGGUUCUUUAUUUGUAAUGUCUGCAGGGGAGGCAUAUGUGAAAAAGACAAGCCAAACUGAUAGUGCAACAAUCUGGCAUGCUCGUUUGGGUCACUUGAGCUACCAACUUUUAAAGGAAAUCUCCUCAAAGAAGUUAGUGGAUGGCAUACCAAGUUUACAAAAUGUUCGUGAGGAUGUAAUUUGUCAAGGAUGUCAGUUUGGCAAGUCGCAUCGUCUUCCUUUCAUGAAGUCAUCCAACCGUAGAUCCUCCAUGUUCGAACUAGUCCACACUGAUCUAAUGGGACCAAUGAAAACGACAAGCUACCGUGGGAAUCGUUAUGUCAUGGUGCUGGUGGAUGAUUUUUCAAGAUUUACUUGGGUGAAAUUCUUGAAAGAGAAAAAUGAGGCACUGUCCAAAUUUAGCGAAUUUGCAUAUGAUGUUCAAAAGGAAUUCGGGGUGAAGAUCAAAUGCUUACGAAGUGACAAUGGAGGAGAAUUCAUGUCAGAGGAUUUCUCUCAAUACUGCAACAAAAAUAACAUUUUGCGACAAAUGACAUGUCCAAAUACACCUCAGCAAAAUGGUGUUUCCGAAAGGAAAUUAGUUCAUCUUGCCUCUGUGAGUGUAUCUUGGAUACAUGACAAAAGUCUACCUCGAGAACUUUGGGCUGAAGCUUUUCAAUGUGCAUGCCAUGUGAUAAACCGCUUACCUCCAUGGCCUGGUAAGGAAAAAUCUCCUUUUGAGAAUUUAUAUGGUAACAAGCCAACUGUGAUUUACUUUCGAGUUUUUGGUUCAAUUUGCUAUGUACAUGUUCCAAAGUCUAACCGGACUAAGCUUGACCCGAAAGCAAAGAAAUGUGUUUUUGUUGGUUAUGACUCAUGCAGAAAAGGAUGGAAGUGUAUGGAUCCAGAAACAAGGAAAUUUAUUGUUUCAAGAGAUGUGGUGUUUGAUGAAGUCUCAUCGUAUUACUGUGAACAAAAAUCCUCAACUGAACAAGUCAUUCUUGAUGGUGAUGCAGAGAAUAUGGAGUAUCCAGGCCACAAUUUAGAAGAAUCCUCAGCUUCAAAUACCUCGAACCUUGAUGGUGAUGAGCAUAUCCAUAGAAAAUCAACAAGGGAGAAAAGGCAGCCAAGUCAUCUUGAUGAUUAUGAGGUUCAAAUAAACCCGUGUACUGUUACCUCAUGUCUUUUCGCAGGAACACUGGAUGAAGAACCAGUAAAUUUCGAAGAAGCUAAAAGGUGUCCUGAAUGGGAAGCAGCUAUGCAAGAAGAGAUUGAUGCACUACACAAAAAUCAGACAUGGGAGCUGGUUCCAAAACCAGAAAAUUGCAAUCCUAUCACUUGUAAGUGGGUAUACAGGUUGAAAAGGAAGUCUGAUGGGACCGUUGAUAAAUGUAAAGCUCGACUUGUGGCUCGCGGGUUUUCUCAAAGCUAUGGGAUGAAUUAUGAGGAAACAUUCAGCCCUGUUGCAAAAAUGGUAACUUUGAGAACCAUUUUUUCUCUUGCCUCUUUCAAAGGUUGGAAAUUAUGGCAACUUGAUGUGAAGAAUGCAUUUCUUUACGGAGAACUGGAUCGUGAAGUGUUCAUGGAGCAGCCAAAAGGAUAUGUUUCAGAACAAUAUCCUCAUUAUGUUUGUCGACUAAAGAAGGCAUUAUACGGUCUUAAGCAAGCUCCACGUGCUUGGUAUGGUAAAGUUGCUCAAUACUUUAUCUUUUGCGGGUUUCAAGUUUCAAGUGCAGAUUCUAGUUUGUUUAUUAAAGUAGAAUCAAAUAUGCACCUGUUGGUCCUUUUGUACGUGGAUGAUAUGAUUAUUACUGGUGAUAAUGAAGCCGAAAUCUCUAUGCUAAAAGAUGAACUGUCUAUUCGCUUUGAGAUGAAGAACCUUGGAGAGGUAGGUUGUUUUCUGGGUUUGGAAAUUGAAAAGAUUGAUCAAGGGUAUUUUGUUUCUCAAAAGAGAUAUGCUAUGGAGCUCGUACAGCGUUUUGGCAUGGGGAAGUCAAAAAAAAAAAGGCAACUCCUAUGGAGUCACAUCUCAAGCUGGUGAAAGAUGAAGGGGAGCUGCUGAAAGAUGCAAAGAGAUUCAGACAACUUAUUGGUAGUUUAAUCUACUUGACUAUCACAAGACCAGAAAUUUCAUAUGCAGUUGGCAUUGUUUCGCAAUUUAUGCAAAAUCCAAAGACUCCUCACUUAGAAGCAGCAAAACGAAUCUUGAGAUAUAUACACGGGACUUUUGAUUAUGGGCUUCUCUACAAGAAAAGUGAUGAUUUUUUGUUGAAAGGGUUUACCGAUGCAGAUUGGGCAGGCAAUGUAGAUGAUCGUCAUUCAACUUCAGGCUAUUGUUUUAGUGUUGGUACUGCUGUCAUCUCAUGGUGUAGUAAGAAGCAACAUACAGUUGCUUUAUCAAGUACAGAGGCGGAGUACAUGGCAGCAUCUAUGGCAGCUCAAGAAUGUAUAUGGCUAAAGCAAUUAAUUGGAGAUGUUUUUGGUACAAAUGACUAUGCUGUAGAAAUUUUUUGUGACAAUGAAAGUGCUGUCAAACUUGCUUCAAAUCCAGUUUUUCACGCAAGAACCAAACACAUCGAAGUACGACAUCAUUACAUUCGAGAGAAGGUACUGGAGGAAGAAAUUGUAUUGAAAGGCAUAUCUUCAAAUGAUCAAGUUGCUGACAUCUUUACAAAGGCCUUGGGAAAAACUAAGUUUGAAUUUUUCAGAGGAACUCUUGGAGUUUGCAGUCGUAAGCAUGCACUAUGGGGGAGUAUAGAAAAUUAGUGCAUCUUACUUAUUUAAUUAAAUAUCUACUGGUUUGCCUUGGCAAGACUUAGUCUUUGUUUCUGUUAUGUUAUUUAGGUUUGAAUAAGUAUUUUAGGAGCUAUUUUAGGAGCAGGUUGUUUAGCUUAUUUUCUGGAGAAGUUUGUUAACUUUUAGCUUAUAAAUUUCAGAUGUAAUGUUUCGUUUCUCUUUAGGAAAAUAAAAAGAGUCUUAUUCCCAAAUAUCUUCAUCUUCUGCUUUCUAUUUUUUGUUUCAUAUGUUUCUUUCUUAAAAACCACGUAUCAGCUAUCCAUGUCUCUGUCAAUUUUUUAAAAGAUGUUGUGGUGUUCUUGGUGGUCUGUGGUGCAGGGAGAAAGUAAACUAUCAUAAUAUUAUGCCCAAAUACAGUUGUUAGCUAACCUUUUUUCAUCAAUUGAUUAAUUAUGUAGCAGGGCAUGUGGGUGAUCAUUGAUAUUAAGUGCAGUAUAUUGUUUUUCAUUUAAUUUUUUUUGGUACACAAUUUUCAUUCCUGCAAGAAGCUAUUAGAUGGAGAAAGAGAGGUUAAUAUAUCCUUUAUUUUUAAUGGGUUUUUAAAUUGGGUUUUGGGUUAUGGGCUAUGGAUAUGGGUCAGUGGGUAGAGGAAAAUCUAAUGGGUUGGAAUUUAGUUUUAUCCAAUAGGAAGAUGCCACGUAAUAAACAUUAAUAAAAAUAAUUAAAAAAUAAAAGGGUGUUAGUAGGGUAAAAAUGAACCAAAAAAGUGAACUGAGAGAUAUUUUUAAUCCAAUAGGUGGAUGAGGGGUAUAUUUAAACCUUUUUGAAUAGUUCAAAGGUAUUUUUGACCCUUUUCCGUUUUCUUUUUUUUUCUAAGGGCGUGUUGAGAUUUUUUUAAAAAUAUAUUUAUUUAUUUAUUGGAAAAAAUAUAUUUUCCUUGAAACGAACACACCUAAAGUUCAUGUAUCUUUUCCUUAUUUUCUUUCAAUUCAUAAGUUGGGUAUUCGUUUUGGAGUGUUUCUAUUUUAUUUUUAAAAAAAAAUACAUUUUUAUGAGUUAAACUUGAGCUAAAAUUAUGGGCGGGAAUCCAUAGACAAAUAUUUAAAGUUGACACCAACUUCACUUAGGCAGCUCAAGUAGGCUUUGUUCAAAAUGACAAAGCAGAGCCUAAUUACGGGUAUUUAAAAUGAACAAAGUGUCUAAGUGAAAAUUGGUGUCAACUUUAAGGAAAGUUAUCAGGGGAAUAAAAUAAGAUUGACAAUUUUAUAUUUCACAAUUCUAUAUGCAUUUUUUUUUGGGUAAGUUAUGCAGAAUUCUGAAUAUGUACAGUAGGUAAAUCUUUGUAAUCAGAACAAAGAUCUGUUUUUUCUUCUAGUAUCUCAGUUGUUUGAAAAUCAAAAGGCAACAUCUCAAUGGAGCCAUCAAUUUCAGUGUGUUCUUGCUUAUCAUAUAUGACUCCAGAUUCAAAUCUUAAGCGUCUUUCAACGGCAGCCUCAACCCUCUGUUUAAAUUCAUCAUCUGUGCUAGACAACAUAUACCGAAGCUUGAAGUUUACACGGUUCUCCACCAUAAUCUUGUGUCUAGGAAUUAUUCUAUCAUCAAGUGAAUAGCUAAAAAACCUGUAAAAUAGACGUCACUUUCGGUAGAAUAGAGGGAUAGCAAUAUUGGAAGGACAGUUUCAUUGUGCCAUAUAUACCUUGGAAAUUCAAUAAGAUCCUGCAAAGGCCGAACCAUCAUCCUUCGCAAAUAACGAUACUUAGGGCGAAGGAUAUCUAUAUUGUAUGUCAGUAACAUUGGAAAAUCAGCAACCAUUUCACCUAGUUGUCUGAGAGUUAUGCCAAGGGAAAGAAAAUACUUCACAUUGUGAUCCAAUUUAUUGGCAAUGCUGCAUCCCAGAAGCUCUGGUCCUAGAGCUAUCACCUUUCCAAUGUUCCUCUGGGAGACACCAGCUUUUGUCAAAAGGAAUAUGACCUAUAAUAAGAUAGCCCGUAUCAGUUUUGCUCCAACUCUUUAAGUAGCAAGCGGUCUAGUAACAGAUAUAAUCAACGAUAAAAAAGAAACGAGAUAAGAGUUGUAUAGUUGCUCUGAUUCAUAAAUCAAGUCUUAGGUUCAUGUCAUACGGAUUGCACUAUCACCAUAUACUACUAGGACAGAGGAAACCGACAAUGUUUAGAGAAUUCAGAUGAAACUGACCACUGGACGUAUCUUCUUGUAGAGGCUGAAAGUGAGUAACCUGGGAAACCUGACAAGCACAUUGCCAAUAGCAUCUUGUUGGACACCUAUGUCUCGUAAAAAUUGAACCUUCAACAAUCAAGAAUGUAAAGUCAUUAGCAGGGAAAAAGAAAAGGGAAAGGAGGUAUUUUAAAACAAACAGAAAUUGUAGUAGAUAUUUUCUGAUUUGGAGGUAUAAAAUGCACUGCAGAAGUUCAACUUGUCAACAGAAACUUCAAAUCAAAGUGAAAAAACUUGAGUUGCCUCAUAAAUUGAGAUUUAAGUACUUGUAUUUUGAUGCUCCGACAUCUAAUGUAGUGCCACACAUGCCAAAAGUAAUAGCAUACCUUAGGCACAAUGGUGGUCUCGAAAUCAACACAGAACAACACUGGCCUGGUAACAAGAAUUUUUCUCAUACCAUCUUUUGAAAUCCCUAGGUAGUAAAAGUACUUGACAAGAGGCUUGAACUUCUCUUCAAUACCACAACCCAUCAAAUGGGGUUUAAAAGAUAAUAAUCUUCCAACAUCUUCAUUGCUGAGGCCAAACUCCUUGAGAUAUGCAACCUGGAUGAGCAUAAAUCAAGUUUCAACGAGAAGAAAAGUCGGAAUAUAAGAUUUCAUUCUAAAGUUAAAUCAACCAAGUGGCAUGUCAUAGCCACUUACAACGUCAUUCUUCAGUGCUUUUUGCACCAAGCAUGGGAAAAAACAAGAUAGCCCAUUUAUGUAAAGAACAGUAGAAAUAGGUUAAAUCAGGCACCUUUUGGUUCAUCUCUUCCAUAGAGAAGUACCCAAGCACCUUAGGAUAGUCAAACACCAUGGUUCCAAAAUCCUUCUCAUCCAUUCCCAUAUCAAAAUAGAAAUUUGUAUGAGACUCUAGUUCUUCCAUGCUGAAGGACAAUAUUUCAGGACAUCGGCCUACAAUAUACCCUAUCCAAUCUCUCUUCACACCCUUGUACUCCAAAUAUCCAACGAUUUCGUCCAAUUCCUCCAAGCUUCGACCCAAAACAUUACCCUUAGCUCUAAUCAUUACAAGCCCAAUAAAUCUUCCCUUCACAUGAAUUGACUUCAACCACUCAGCCAAACGUCUUAUUGAUUCAAGAUCUCCUCUGGACUUGCAAAUGAGGUUUGCAAUAUGAGGAUAUGACAAUUCAUUGUGUUUUAACCACCUGCAAGAAACACAGGGUAGUUUGGUUCCAAACUAGAUAUGCAAUAUUACAACACAGACAGUGGAGAGCCAGGAGUUCAUACAAGGAUUCAAAAAUGUCACAUCUGAGAUAUGAAUCCAUGACAGAAAGCAAAAUUUUGAACCUCCUUUUCCACUUCACAAAAACUUUCCCUUAAAAAAGAACUAGUUCUUGCCCUUUAUGGCUUAUGCACAGUUGAGAAUUCAGUUGAACCUCCUGCCUACAAGUUGCUAGUUCCGUCCCUAAAUGCAUGAAUUGCUAUUCAACAAUAAUACACGGGUGUGAAGGUCAAGAAAUUAGCUAAUCUUAAUAGAGACAAUAUACAUAAUCUUAUUCCACAUUCUAUCCCAAGUUUCAUGCAUAAGCAAGUAUUCGUUAUAGAGUCUUGUAACCGAAAAUGGAAGUUAUAUUAGUAUUUGCAGAAAUUUAUUCUAGGAUCAACCUUUGUAUUAACAAUGCAACUAUGUAGUGAGCAAAAUGUGUAUAAACAAACUUCAAUGUGCAUAUUCCUUUGUACCUCACAAUUGGCACGACACCAGAGUCAUCUAUGAAGGCUCUGGCACGAACAUUGAAUGAUGAACCCAAGAACUCAGGCAUUUGCUUCAUUGAAGCAGCUUGAAUCAUCACAUAAUCUAUAAAAUCAGGCAACUCGGAAACCAAAUUCGUCGAAUAGGUAAUACUAAACCUUCCCUUUCUCAUUGCUUCUUUAAAAAUCUCCACUGUAACUUUCCUCCUUAUCUCAAGUGCCUUUAUGAGCAUCUCAUCAUCAUCAAAUCCACUUCCUUUUUUAGAAUCAAACAAAGAGGAAAUUGGGGGUAAUGAAGUAUUCACAUCAGCGUCAGUAGGGGAUUGAACAUAUAAAGAACCUGGAAAUUGAGGGGUUCUUUUCCUUAUCAGUGACAUUUCAAGAACCUUCUCUUUAUCUUCUUCCAGUACAGCACAGUCUUGUUUUUCCGGUUCAGCUGAACCGGUUAACGGUUCUUGGUAUUCUUCCUGUUUGAGGUAACGGAGGAGAACAGCAGAGGAUUUCGAAUUGUGUUUUCGAGUGAUACCCUUUUCAUCAUUCGAUGAAGUGGUGGUGUUGGUAUCUGUUUCUUGAUUUUUAAGGUGGGGUUGCUGGUGGGGGUGGUGGGUGGAGAAAAUGGUAAAAGAACGACGCCGUUUUGGAGAGAAGCAUACAAUGGUGGGUAGAGUAGUUUGGUGUUGUUGGUUUAUGGAUUGUGGAGUGAAGAAGAAGUUAUGGUGAUGGAGCUCGCAAAGCAUCUUCAAUGGAGGAAACUUGAAUUUAGAUAAAGCUCUGCAAAUAUCUCAUCAGAGAGAAAAAGAAGGGGUUUUGGUUAUUCAUUAAAACCCAAGAAGUUAAACAAAACAAUACUUAAGCACCAGAAACAAAGAUAAAUUGCACUUGCCCUCACAUAGUUUAGACUGACCAAGUAAUUACAUGACCAACUAAACAAGUCAGACAAUGUAAUUACACCAAUUGCACCAAAUUUAUUUAUCUGGGUGACUUUCCAAAUAGACCCUAAGUUAAUAGUUAGGUGUGUAAGUGACAAUUUUUACAUAAACACGCAGUUAUUAUGUCUUAUUCCUAAUAUUUCCUUUAUUUGAAUUUGUUUGUCUUACUUUACUAUUUAGUUUAUUUCGAUAACUCUUUGAUUCUAAAAUUUUACAUGAUAUACUUGACAAUAUAAGGUUAAAGUACAUUUUGAUAUAUUCUUCGCUAGCGUUUAGUCAUAAAUUUCCAAAUAUUCUUGGCAAAUAUUAUUUGGGUGAAAUUUCUCUAUGUGUUUGGUCAUGGUAUUUGGGAAACAUAUUUCAUUUUUUUAGAAAAAUAUGAUUUAUACCCAUAAGUUUGUAUUACAAGUCAAUUGGAUCUUCGUUGUAACAAAUAACAAGUAGUGUCUAUAACACUGAAGCAAUGUGGUAGUUUGGAGUGAGUGCAACAAGCAUCAUUCCAUACAUCGUGAAGUAGACAAAACACAUGACUUUUGUUACCCUGAGCCGAUUAUUUAUCAUUUUCAUCAACAAUCAUAUCAUCACUUUCAUAUUCACCGAAUAUUUCAUCACUAUUUUGGUGUUCACGUAAAAAAUUAUAUCAUACAACACAAACAACUACUAUAUAUGAUGUUUUUGUAAAAGAUAAAAGUUUAGUGUAAAAUUUCAAUUUUUAAAAGAUCCCAAAUAAUGAUAUUUGACCCAAAUACUAAAAAAAUUAGUAUUUUUUUCUAGUAUUUGGAAAUUUGAGAUAUUUGCCAAAAAUAUUUACCAAAUAAUGACAAAUUAUAUGGACAAACACUAUUUACCAAAUUUUCCCCUAAAUAUUACUUGAAAAAUCUAUGGCCUCAUAUCUUUAUUUUAAGAUCUACAAGAUUCAAAGUCUCCUUCUAUCAAAUUUUUUCCAAGUAAUAUUCCUCUCUUCCGAUGGAGUACGCCUCCCUUUUUAGUAUAUUCCCAAAAAUAUCAAUUUUAUAUUUUUUAAAUAAUUUAAUUAUAAAAUUUAUAUUUUACCUUCAUAAAAUUAUCUAUUCGUACACAAAUAUUUAAGAUUUAUGCUAUAUCAUUUGAUUUUUUUCCUUUUUCAACUUUCUAUUUAUCCAAAUUCUAUAUUAUAAUUGGGACAUAAUGAGUAAUAAUAUUAAGAAACAUAACAGUCAAAAUAUUUAAAAUUAUUUUUAGAUCAUAAUUUUUUUUUUAAAAUUAUUUUCUUUUUUAAACUUCAUAUUCAACUAAUUUUAUCGCAUAACCAUUUCAAUUUAAGUAUUUUAAUUUGACGGAGCACAAGAUUUAAAAAUGAAGAUUUUUUUUUUAAUCUUGUAGAAAAUAUUGGUGGUCUCAUCUGCAUUUCACCACAUUUGUGUGUGUCUAGUUGUAAUAAACGAAACAUAAAAAGAGUACCAAACACAAAGCAACGCGAGUUCUUGUUAAGUCAAGAAUCAAGAAUCAAGAUUUAGAAACAUUGAGAGAGGAGACAAGCAAUUGGAAUCAAGCAAACGAAGAUGAUAAAGGGAGUGAUCUUGAUGAACGAUAAGGGAAAGCCCCGUCUUGCUAAAUUCUACGAUUAUCAUGUAAGUUUCUCUAAACCCUUUACAUUACAAACAAGAACACAAAGAUUAAAAUUAUUUUUGUUAAUUUUUUAUUCUUUCUUAAAAUCAAUUAUUUGUUGUAAUGUAAGGUUAGCCCACAGAAAAGCAGCAAGAGCUGAUUCGAAGAUUAUAUGGAGGUUGUAAUUACAUUUGAUUUCCUUCUUUCUUUUGUUUUAGAUUGUCAAAUUCUUUUUGCUUCUGUAAGUAUAAAGAUUGGAUCUUGAUCUGUGUUUUUCUGCCAAUUUCAUUUUUGUUAGGGUGGUAUUUGAAAAAUGCUUUUUUUUUUAAACUGUGGUAUCUGAGCCAGCUUAUGCGCAUUUAGAGUCAGAGGUGAAUCUAGAAUUUCUAGAACAUGAGUGCACCACUAAAAGAAGAAAAUAGUAUAGUAAGUGGAAACUGAUCCCUAGUCCUCUAGGUAACCACUCAACAUUCGACUUUCUUGUAGCAUGGGUGCCAACAGGUGCCCAUAUUUAGGCUAUAAAUAUGCCCCUGCCUAGACUAAUUCCGUGAGAUACCUGUCACCUCCCACCAACAAUAACUACCAGGUAACAUGUAAGAAAUCACGUAGUGGUUUUGAACAUUUAUAUUAAACCUAGUGAUGUGAAGAUUUACUCUUUUGUUGUUCUGUAUGGUGAUCAGUGUACUGUUGAUUGUCGUGUAAAUCAUUAGUUGUGAUAUUUUGUGUUCAAGUGCAGUUUUAUCCAGUAGAGCAGAGAAUGUAAGCAACUUCGUCAAGGUUGACUCCCUCUUUGGACCGGUAUGUGUUUUCCUCUUGGCUCUCUCUAUAUCUCUCUGAAUUUGGUUUUCUAUUUUUCUUUUUGGUUUUUAUCAUUCCUCGAAAGUACAUGUAAAACAAAGGAAAGGGUUGAUCAAUCUUUUUUCUUCAUCGUUACUUUAUGCUAACCAUUGCUGAGAUUCUGCUUAACCUGAAUAGCUAGAGAGAUUCACAUCUUGUGCCUCCUUACAUACAGGAUGCUCGACUUGUGUACAAGACUUAUGCCACACUACAUAUUUUAUUCAUAUUUGACAGCUCAGAGAAUGAACUUGCAAUGCUUGAUCUCAUGCAAGGUAUAUCUACUCAAGCUCUGACCAUGCUGGCUAUAAGAUAUUAUAUCGAUUAAUAGAAGAGCUGUGACUCAUUAUCAAAAGGUUACAUUAUGUAUAAGUAAAUCGAAAGCCAAAUAUCUCUUCUUUGAUAGAUUUUUAAAGUAAUUUGUGUUUUUCUUCCUUCGCACUGGGAGUUCAGGCGCAAAACUCUUGCAAUGAAACAAACUUGUCACUGAGGCUUCCUAACGAUUUCUUGCUUGUCGCCUUGCGGUAUCUGUUGGUUCCAAAAUAUUAAGAUUGAAUGAAAAGUCCUUCCCUUUUAAAAGAAACUUUAGCAAAUGAAAAUUUAUCACACAUGUAUCUUUUACUAAAAUAGUAUAACAUGGGAUAUGGAGAAAUAUGCAAGUUUGAGCAUCAUCAUGUCUUAUGGUGGUCUGAGAUCUUUGAUAGCUAUGCAGUACCACUUUCAACAUCUAAAAUUUGGUGGGAGUGCUGCUAUUAAUUUUCGUCGAGCUGUACUAUGUCAUAGGUCUUCAUAGGAAUGACAGGAGUGAGUUUGUGGUCACUGCUAAACAUUUAUGGUAAGUGUGUGUAUUUGUGCUUCUGAUGUAAGCUACCUGAACACAAUUUAAGAACUCCGUUUGUAAAACCAGAGCAUAUUCUGAUCAUUUUAUUUUACUUCAAUGUAUAUGUCAUCAUUCUCCAAGAUUUGCUAACUUGAAUGAUGUUGACAAUAUUUUUGAGUUUCAGUUUUUGUGGAGACAAUGGACAAGUGUUUCAGCAAUGUACGUGAACUUGAUAUAGUAUUCAAUUUCAAUAAGGUUGGUCUUCUCUCUCGGUUUAGCAUCAUGAAGUAUGUAUCACUAAAGUUAUGUAGUUGUUCAGUGACUUGAUUCCUUUGGGUUUUGUGGUACUUGAUAUAUUAAAGAAACACUUGUGUUUUGGUUCAUUGUUUACAUCAACUUUGGGGAUACAAAAUAAUUAAGACUUGGGAUACCUUAAUCUCCAAAUAUCUCAACUGGAAGUUGACUCCCCCUGAAAUAAUGUUGAUCUAAGAAGCAGUGCUACUGUGCUAAUUGAUUAGUUGUAAGUGGGCCAUUCUGGAAACAAAGGGAUGCUUAAGUAUAUUAGAGCGAGCUAAUUCUUUUUGUACAUCAAGAGUUUGAAAUAUAAGAAGUGAAGGUGGUGAAAUUUCAACGUGGCAUUUACUUCUUUUGAGUUAAGUUGACAGGUAUUACCAAAUGAAUUUGAGAAACUAUUACUCUUCUUAGGAAUAACCGUAACUAAUCAAAGACAAGAAAGAGUGACCGGCCUGUAGAUAAGAUCUUAUUUGCAUUGACAUUCUGCUUCCAUAAUUUAAACUAAAAAUGUUUGAGACUUUGCUGAUGUAUUGAAGUUUUGCAGGUGCAUGCUAUAUUAGAUGAGAUCAUUUUGGGAGGUGAAGUUCUUGAGACAAGUUCCUCAGAAGUGGUGAAGGCUGUUGAAGAAAUCUAUAAGUACUCUCCGAACCCACUAUGUUUCUUUUUACUUUUGUUUAUUACUCACCAGACAUAGGUCAAGAUGUUAUAAACUAUAUUUGUUCAGGAUGGAAAGAGCUGCAAAUUCAAUCAUGGCAGUUCCAUCAAUAACUAGCUGGCAAGGUCGAUAGCACAUGUUGACUUUGGUAAGUUCUGUAGGACAAUUCAGAUAAUCUAUCAGGGAGUAAUGAUUAAAUAGUGCUACCAAAUUUGGUUUCAAGUGGUUCUGGCAAUGAUCAAUGAACUGGGCACUGUAUUUGUCAACCAAGUUGUUGAACUAUUACUCUUUGGUGCUUGAAAUUUCUGCACAAGAGUUUUCGGAGAGCUACAGUACUUGCAAGUGAACUAUUCGACUUUUGUCUACAGAGUUGUGACGUUCCAAGUUUUAUCCCAUUUGGAGGAAAAAGGGAAAAAUAAAAGUUACUUGAAGUGAAUAUAAGAAAGUUUAUAAGUGCUUCUUCAAUAUGAUAUUUCCUUUCAACUAGUUGUAUCUAUUACAUUGUGUUUGACUUCAAGCUUUCGGCAUAUCAAAAGCUGCAUAUAUACAUGAAAAUGAGACUCUAGGGACACGUGCACUUGUCAAAUCAUUAUUGCAUAGAUGAUUUUGAGUUGAUUAAAAUCAAUUUGGACGUCCCUUUUUUACUUUUACUUUUUGCUUAUUUGAGGAAAGGGAAAUUUAUCUCAAGACCUUGUAAAUGUUAUAGUGCCAUAAGGCUAUUUCUGCUGCUUACGGUUAGAUUUAUGGCAUUUGACCUUUAUUUCAUCAUGGUGAGACAUUCGAACACUACAUGAUUUUGGUCUGUCGUCUGUCUAUAAACCAUAUAAGCCAAAAUUUCUAAACUACCCAUUGCCUAAAAGAAACCAUUGUUAGAGGACUAAGCAUAUGUUUUGCUGCAUUUCCUACGAAGAAUGCUUCUUCGUUUGUCCUAAUUUGAACAAACUAAACUAUUAUUUCCACACCCUAGUAUCGGAUGACAUACCUCCAGGCUCGUCAUUGGUAAAAUUUGCAUGUUCCUAUGAUUUCCCUAAAGAGUUGCUGGCUGGUAAAUGUCAGUUACUUGGUACUUGUUGCUGGUGGAUUAGUCUGCAAGCUGGCCCGGACGCCGUGGUUAUCAAAAACAAAAAUGUUAUACAGAUGCAGGUUCCAAAGUUUUUGCUUGAACAAAACUGUGAUCAACUCCUUGGUCUUAAGAAUUACCCUUACUUUUGUUGCCUAAUUGUUGCAUUUAAAAUAUUUAUUUUCUAUGAAUGAUCAUUUAGGUGAGGAUGUAUUAGAAUGAAAUCUUGCAUCCAAGUGCAUGUCUUGGUAGUCAGUGAAAACCAUAAGAUGUUAGGGUUCAAAUCGGAACACAGGCAGAAAACACAGUGAUUUCUUUCCAUCUAUCUAAACAUUAGUGAGCAGAGUUAAGUUAUACCCCAUACGAGUGCUGAUGGAAAUAGUUGAGGCAGUCAAGAAGCACGAUUUUGAAAAUGAAAAAAGCUAAGAGUAAAAUCUUCUUCUUGUGUAUAUUCUGAAAUGUGUACUGGAUUUGACUAUAGCCAUAUUCAGCCCCACUCCUCUUUUUACCCGUCUGCUGGUUUAGAACCUCUGCAUAUAUAUACACUGGACUGUCUUUCAAGUACUACAACACCUGCUCAAAUAUAAGGAGUACAACCAAAAUUAAAGGGGCAAUUUAUGGAUUAUGGUCCAGCUGUCUGGAAAAAUUUCAUCAAACCAUAACAUAGGCAACAUCAAUUAUUGUCCUCUACUAUUGCCUAUUGGUUCUUGGCCAAAGUCUUUAAGUGCAUCAACUCACUGCCCAAACCUUCCAUGCCAUUCAUUUUACUUUUUUCUCUUUAAGGCAUUAAAGUUGAUGGAAUUGCUGGGGUCAUUGGUGAACUGGACACUAUGAGUCUGCAACAUCAAAUAGUGAAUAACAUUUAGUGUUGACUCUAUCUAUAUGGCUAUCACUAGGGGUAGCGACUACGAUACUCUAUUCAGCAUUCAAUAAUUUAUCAUACUAUUGGUGUGACCCGUUUGAAAUAAGUAUCUUCCAAAUAAAUGUGAGUAUUUCAAUGAACCAUAAUUGUCCUUUUUUUUGUUAGCAUGUCGAUAAUUUUCUAAAUUAGAUCUGCUUAAUCUAGAAAAGUAUGUGCAAUAUUUGAAAUUAUCUAUUUAACCAUACUAACUCUAGGUUCUCCACAUCUAACAUGUCGAUGAUUCAGAAUUCUGAGUCACACUUGAGUAAGUGAUGAAUCUUUGUUAAAUCAUGUUCACGUGAAGCCAAUAGCGUGUGCUGAAACUCUUAUUUUUAUAUUAAAAAUUCAUUAUAUAUACAUAAGUAUUUGAAUCUGAAUUCAGUUGUUAAUGUAUAUUAACUUUGAAUUCACUGUAGAAAUUCAUAAACUUUAAAUUUUGGUUCUGUCUCGCAUAAUAUUUGACUAGUAAAGGUUAUAUCACCAUCCCAACUAACAACUUGAAUGAAAGUAAUAAAUAGGAUAUAUAAUACUUAUAACAAAAGGACGGGAUUGUUUUAACUUGUAAAAUAAUGGAGUGUCCUAGUUUACUUGUUUGUUAAAUGAAUUUUUAUAACAUUUACUAUUAACCAUGUGAAGUAUUUUCAACAAGUUGGUCCCAUGGUCUAGUGGUCAGGACAUUGGACUCUGAAUCCAGUAACCCGAGUUCAAGUCUCGGUGGGACCUUAUUUUGUUUUCUUUGUUCUGUUUGAUUUUUAUUUUCCCACUAUUUCAGAGAAAAUUUAAUAAUAGAAAAAAAAACUAAAUUGGUAGAUGUAUACGACUUCUCAACAAACAGAAAGAAGAAUAAAAUCAGACGAUGUUUCGGAAUUCAUAAUUUUGUAUUUUUUGUGCGAACAGAUUGUUUGAAUUGAAUACUGUUUUCACAGUAAAGCGCAGACUAAUCGUAGAGGUUGAGUACACGGAAAACAUAACAAUUAUACUGGUUAUGUUGUUGUUAUAUUUGGACAAUGAUCUCUUGUGAUUUUUUACGACCGUCGAUGCUAAACCAUCUGUCAAACUAAUAAAACAAUGGUAGACCAGAAAUCAGUGUGCACAGAAAUUGGCACGAGACCAAAAGUUGUAAGCAAAGCAAAUUCAGUAACAAGAAAAAGGAUAGAACAAUGGGAUACUCUUUUUUUUUCUUUUUUCCUCUCCUCCAAUUGGAAAAUGAAAGAUUGUGUAUAAUUUACAUUCCAUGGAGAGACUAGUAAAAGAGAAGAAUUAUAAGAAAAGAAUUGGAAUUUGGAAGCAAACAUAAACCCCCCAAAAACAAAAUUAACAAAAAGAACCACCACCACUACUAAAUCCUGUUUUCCAACUCUAUCCCCAGAAAAAGAAAAAGAACUUAAAAUCCCAAAACCCCAAUAAACAAUUUGAUGUUUGCUGUCCCCAGGUAAACUAUGCAUCUCCAUUUUCAAGACCAGGGCAAGAUAAUGGCUUGCAAACUCAAGCAUUCCGGAAACGGAGAAUGUACAAGGUGUCCCCAAACAAAAAUGCAACCUUAAUGCAGAUCCUACUGCAUUAUUAACAAAGAAUUAAUGACAAUCACCCUCCCUUCUACUCCGCCUGUGGUCCUCUCUCUACAUCGUGCUCCUCCAAUGGCUCAGGGAAAAUCUCUUUGGACUGUCGUCUAGUUGAUGAAGAAUGACCGUUGUUGUCCCCAUUAGGACCACUUCCUUGAGAGCCUGUUGUUCCGGAUUGCUUCAAACUACUUGUUCCUUCCAACUUAUGUGCUGAAGCUGCAGCAGGUACGGCUGCUACAUCUGAGGAGCUACGCCAGCUGCCAAACAGUGCAGCGUUCCAUGAACUUCUCGAUGAAGUUGCUCUAAGUCUUGCUGAGCUAGUGUGUUCUUCCCUAACUACCUUCAAAGGGUUUUCCAAAGCUUUAAGGAUGUAUCUCAUUAAGGGUCUCCUUGACGGUUUGGGAUUGAGGCAGGAUCUGGCAACAAUAGCCAUCGCCCAUACUUCCUCUAAUAAAUCUUCGUCUAUGAUUAGGGAAGGAUCCACAAUGUUUGUGACAAGUUCUUUAUCAUAUAUACUAAUGUACUUAAGCGUACCGUCCAACCACUCCUUCAUGCUGGCGUCAUUGGAUGCACUGAUACCUAGCUUGCCAGUUACUAGCUCGAGCAAAACCUUUCCAAAACAGUAGACAUCAUACGCACAAGUGGCACUAGGUGUACCUGUCCAUUCGGGUAAGAAAGAAUAUUAGGACGAGAUAAGUAGACUUUGAAGUAUUCCCUAGUGAUAGUUCAAGCAACAAAGCAUACUCCCACAAAAAGUAAAGCAAAACAUCGCCAUCAAAAUCUCCAGCCCUUUACGCUCUUUGGAAUCAGCUUUAUAUCGUAAAUUUCCACCUAAUAGUUUCACUUAUUCUUACUUCUAAUGAGAAUCUACAGUUUUGAUUUGUUGCCUAGAUCAAUUUAAGGAGAUUUUACCCACCAACAAACAAUACCGGAAAUGUGACGCAAAUAAUUUUAAAUAGUUACUUGCACCAAUUUAAUAAAUAUUAAGAAUAUCCAAGUAAACUCUAUUUAAGGAAAGUAGAACUAAAUAAAGUUGCACAUACCUGAUGCACCUUGUUCCGACGUCCUGCAAAUAAGAAAGGGAGAACUAUGUCAACAAGCAGUAUAAACUAUAAAACAGUACUGGUUGAAAGAAUAUAACAAAACUUUUGAGAUCAUGCAACAAGCUUCGACGAAAAGCUGGACAAACAGUGAUAACCAUUCAUAAGACAGGAAAUACAUAUGGAAAAGUUUUCACUAUAAAACAAAAACUUCUAAAGCUUUCUGGAUUAUGAUUGAAUAUAAUCAUGAUCAGUGGUCGUAAGUUCAAUUUCUAAAAUAAGAGAACCUGGAAAGUUUUAACAGAAGCCAUGAAGAUUAAAAUAAUAGAAUAGAAGGCCUCAAAUCUUUGGCAUCUAACAUAGGGACUUCAAACCAAUUUUUCACAUGCCAUUAUAUCUAGGUCGUUCCAGAAGUAUUUAGUAUUUACCCCACAAUACAAAAUUUAAUAAUUUCCUGCAUUCAAUGUGUAGGCAUAACGAGAAUAGGUAAUAGUUAAAGCUAGACAAUGAGAGUAAGAAAUAGUUAAACUUACUUCAGCACAGGAUGGAAAGCUAAAAGAAUGAGAACUAUGCAUUCCCUACCAAAUAGCAAAACCAACAAAUUCUCCUUAAGUGAAAACAUGUACAUCAAAGGACUAUGUUACAUGGAUUCAGCUACGCAUGCAUAUCCCAUACAUGAGUUUUAAGUAUACAGUAAGGGUACAUACAAUUUUUUGCUAAUUUCUACUUAAACUACAACACCCAUGUGACACCCGCUAGACAUAGGUAAAUCAAGGCAAGAAGAUUCAUAUAACGUAGAAAAGGAAUAAUUUACUGAGGGAUGGAACAAGUAAUUAACAAGUGGGUGAUGGUCUUUCAGACUAGACUGACUGUUCUUUACGGUGUUCCUUGUAACUUGAAUACUGAGAAGAAAUAAGAUAAUAUGCAGCUGCAUGAUAACUAUCAUCAGGACUAAACUAGUCAGGGCCUAUAUUACAAGUUGUCAUAAUUUAGAAACAAAGCUAAAGCCCUUUUGUAUAAGAACAGAUAACAAGGUUAAGAGUAAGGUUGCUGCAUGAACGUUAGGAUUCUCAUUUAUAUCAGAGCUAAUAAAUAUACACCAGAAAGACUUGAGCUGGCAGCAAAACUGUGGAACUCAAAUCCAAUUUAGAAACCAAGCCAAAGUAGUUUCUAUAACAUCAAAUUGGAGAGACAGAUAUAUUAACAAUAAAACUGCCUGAUUUUAAGAUCCAUCAUGGGAGACAAAAAUUGACCAUUACAUAACAACCUAGUAGUAAUAGUAGUUAGCCUUCAAAAAGAAAAGGAUGGUUAGAACAUAGAAUUUACCAACAACAACUACUUACUGUGGAAAUCUGAGCAGCCUGGAAAUUCGGUUUUGAUGGCUCUCUCCUUCUUGUGCACAGGCCUCAUUUAGACUCCCUAGCCGUACUUCAAACUUAUCAUCAAGAAGUAUGCUGCUUGCUUGAACAUCUCUGCGAGAAUAGUAGGCAAAGGAAAAAGAAGAUGUCACUACAUGAUGCACUAAAAAAUUUCUGACAGAAAUAAAGUUCUUUUUUGGGGGUGGGGGGUGGAGGUAAGAUUGAAUCCAAGAAACUAAUUCAUGCAAUUAAACCAUUGAGAAUUUCACGGUGAACUGCAGCAGAAAAACUAUACGGACAUUUAGAGAAGCAUCUCCUUUGGAAACUCCUUCUGAAAUGGAUAUUCGGUUCAAGAAAGUCUAUUGGAUUCCCCAUGAAAGGAUCUUUUGUUUGUAACUGAGAAAUCCUCCCAGCUCUAUUGGCGCACGAUCCAAAACUCGGUGGAUAAUGGGUCCCAGCCUUCUACCUUUCUCCACUUAAAUACCAAGCUUUAGUCUAUGGUAGGAUUCAAACUGAUAACGUGAUCUUAACCCACACAUAAUGAGUUGUGCUCUUGCCACUAACCCAAAUCCCUAAGGGUUGCCCGGUGAAAGAAUAAUGGUUGAACCCAAAACAUGCAGAUGAAAAGUUUUAGAGAAAUAAGAUAGUUCACUGACAGGCUUAGGUUCCAUGGAGAUAAAAGGUACAAUAAGGAGUAUCAUAUGAGGACUACCUUUAGUUGAUUAAGAUUGAUGGGAUUGUGUCGAGGUGUGCACAAGCUAGCCCGGGCACCACGGUUAUCAAAAAAAGAAGGAUUGAUGUAUGGAGAAGGUUCAAUAAUAAGAAAAGAAAACAAUUUUUAAAAAAACAUUACUGUUCUUAGUUUGAGAAAAUUUCUAUUUCUGCAUUCACAAUAUCUCUGCACAAUAGAAAUAUAAUGUCAUCAAGAUCUUCUAAGGCCACAUCCCUCAUACCGAAUCUAACACAAUAUAAACUGCCUAGAUUAGAGAUAUCGCAGCCAUGCAUGGAACUAUAGAAGCUGAGCUUACAGCAAUUUUAGAAGUGCAUGGCUCUUGACUUUACAUUGCUAAGCCCUAAAAGGACAGGUUUUAGGUUUACUAAGCUCUUAAUUUUAUUACAUGCAGGUGUAGCUCAUAAAAAUAGUAAGUGAAGCCCUCAAGUUGAUAGAGUCAAGCUCCAGGUACAAGAUAUUGUGGAGGCUAUUCCUUAUGUGAUGAACUCUGUAUAAUAAUAGUCUCACGAGGCAAUAAACAUUACAGAUCUCCAACUGAUAGCAAAUCAGAAAACCAUCAACCAUAAAUUGCCUCCUUUUAUAAAUCUCGAGAAGCUAAGAGCGAAGCAGACAUCUAAUAUUUAUCAUUUAUAAAUAGGCUUUAGAUGAGUUUCAGUCGACCAGACAUGGGCACAAUCCAUAAAGUUGCAAGCACCUUUAACGUGCAGAGUGUCUGCGCUGCACUGAAUUUUUGGCUGAAAAUUUGAGAGCCUUCUAUGGGAAUCUUGUCCCGCCUAAUUCAGAGACACGAAAUACACUGAUAUUUGAUAGCUUUCAUUCAGAGCAUUUUUCCUAGUAUCUCCAACGUGUACAAACCAAAAAGGGCGCUCUCCAAGUCAUCAAGUCAUAUCCUUUAUUACCUUGAGUCUAGCCCAAGAGUCACCAAUUAUGUAUAACCAAUGAAUAUACAUAGAAAGAGUAGCUGGUAGCCUGCAACUCUUCCAAGAUAUAUGAUAAACAUGUUUAAAUGAAAACUUGUAAUCAUGAUAGUGAAAUAUAAGUGCACAUGCGAACAUGGAAAUCUAAUAGUAAAUCACAUAAGUCCAGCAUUGCUAUUCAAGUUCUCUCAGAUUAACCAUAAAAGUGGUGGCACAUGGAAGUAAGAUAAAUGUAAUAUGACAAGUCCUUGAUACCUGUGCACUAGAGGCGGGUUACAUUCAUGAUGUAGAUAAGACAAACCCUCAGCAGCUCCAAUAGCAAUUUUCAGUCUUGUUAUCCAAUCCAAUGACUGCAAACUAUCAUCAUCUGAAUUGUUUUUUCUAAACAAAGAACUUGAAAGAUCUCCAUUUGGCAUAUACUUGUACACCACGAACUUCUCAUUCUCAUUCUCCAAACAGUGCCCCAUAAAAGGUACUAAUCUUGAGUGAGAAACCUUGCUGAAGAAGUCCAAUUCUGACAAGUAUGCUUCAUUCCUUGCAGACUGCACAUCUAUUCUUUUGACAACUAUAAGGGUCCCGCCUUCUAGGGUACCACGGAAGAGAUCACCUGAAUGACCAUGCUUCAUAAGAUUUGCAUCAUUGAACUCACCUGUGGCUUGAAGAAUCUGCUGGUAGGUAAAUGCAUCUCCUAAACUUGAAAAAUUCAAUGAUACUCCAGGUGCAGGAGGUGGUGGACUUGAACUGGCAGGACCGGGCCCAACCUCAGUGGCUCUUUGAUUCGUGGCACCCCGUUUGCGGGUGCAAAAAAUCAGCAGCAAUAUACAGAUAAAGACAAGUGCAAGUAAUCCAACGCUACCCAGAACAGCCGCCAAUAUGAUUUUAUUUCUGUGACUCUUUCUGUUGGAUUUAGAAGCUGGAAGAGGCUCUGUGGCAUUUGGCUCUCCAAAAUUAUCAAACAACAAGCCACGUCCGCUAUAAAAAGAAGCACAUUCGCUCCUAUUCCUUUGACUUGUCACAUUUUGGAGGCAAUUGCUACUAAUUGACGCGUUGCGUUGUGCAUAAUUUGGGAGUUUGCCUUCAAAAUAGUUUCCUGAUAGAUCUAGAAAACUGAAGCUUCUGUUUAAAGACGGCAAAUUUCCAUAAAACGUAUUAUGAGAAAGAUUAAACACUGCACCAGUGGCAUUGACAACGGAGCUAACAUUUGGCAGAAUACCAGUGAGGUUAUUCGCAGAGACAUCUAGGAAUUGCAACCCAGGCAUCGACCACAAAGCAUUAGGCAACGAUCCAGACAGCCUAUUAUUCCCAACUACCAUACUCUUCAAGUUCCGUAAUCCUCCUAAUUCAGGGACCACUCCACUUAGACUAUUGAAGCUGAGGUUAAGAUCAACCAAAUUAGAAAGGUUACCGAGUUGGGUGGGUAUCGAAGUAGAAAAGCUGUUGUCAGACAGAUUCAAGGAUUUCAACUGAAGCAAAGUCCCAAUAUCUGAAGGAAUAGCCCCAUUGAAGAAAUUUGAAGACAUAUCAAGCAAGGUAAGGUUCUUAAGAGAAACAAAUGUAUCAGGAAUUACCCCAAGAAGCUUAUUAUGCGAAAGAUCAAGACUUGAUAGGCGUGACAAUUGACCGAAACUUCGAGGCACUUGUCCAGUGAGACCAUUGUUGGACAAAUUGAGAGUAACUAAACUAGUUAAAUUGCCAAGGGAAGGAAGAAUAGGACCAAUGAGGGAACAUGACCUGAGAUCAAGUACCCGAAGAGACACAAGCCUAAGACCAAACCAUUCAGGAAUAGAACCAGGAAGUACAAAAUUGGAAGCAUUAAAAGAUUCCAAAAGAGUCAAAUUUUGGAGAGCAUCAACUGAGAAUUGAGGGGUUUGACCCCCAGCUCGAGUACGUUUAAAACCAGAUAUGUUGAUCUCAGUAACUCGACCAUUCUUGCAACGAAUCCCAGCCCAGUUGAAACAAGGGUUACCCUUUAUAGGCCAUUCUUUGGCUCUUAACCCUAAAGAAGAUCUCAGUUGAAGCAAAGCAAAUUUCUCAGCUGAAGAACUAACCCUCUGCUGAAAUGUAGAGUCAAACAGCAAGAAAAACACAAAACAAAACAAAACCACUCUGCCCUGUUGGUUCGCCAUUCUUGCUCAACCUUCAUUUAACUUCGAAAAUUCUCAUCAUUUCUCAAAUAUAUAUAAAUGGGCAUCUCUAAUUUGUUAUACCCCUUCUAUAUCAUAGUGAUUCUUGAAAUAAAAAAGGGAAUAUACAUUCUGUGUCAGAAAAUUAAAGGGAUUACCUUUUUUGAGUGAAUCAACUAAGCUUUUGCUUUGAUUCUUUGUUCUUGAUAAAGCAAAGAAGAGUUCUAAAUGCUAAUCCCUAUACUGUUUUCUCUCUACCAACUCUUUUUCUUUCAGUUUCUUCAGUUUGAUAGGUAAGAGAGAAGAUUAAAAAAAUGGUCAAAAAAAAAAUGGGUUCUUUUUUUGUGUGUGUGAGAAAGUGGUGUGAAUGAAGAAAAGAGGAGAAAUAGUAGAUGUAGAGAGAGAAAGUAAAUGAGUCAAUCCUAAUUCUCUCUCUAAAAACUCUGUGUGAUUAAUUGGAUCAUUGAUGUACUGUUCAUUACUGUAAUCUUGAAAAUUUAAUAGAAGAACACAAAAAAGAUUGUAUUUUUAUGGAAAAAUAUUUACCCCUUUUGGAAAUAAUGCUGACAAAAAGUGAACUUUUUUCGCCGCCGUGGACGGUGGUGGGGUGGUGGGAUGGUGGGGGGUUGAGGGGUUAAGUUGACUACCGGGAAAGUGGCAAAAAAACAGCUAAGCUAAAAACAACUAGUUUAAUUCUAAAAUAGAUUAACAAUAAUUAAAUUACUUAAUUUGGGUUUUAUUUUUUCUCUCACUAGAAUCUUUCUUCUAAUUAUUUCUGUAAUUAUUACUCUUUUCCUCUUUUUAUUUUGGUAGAUAAAUAAUGAGAGUAUCUGGUAAAGUAUUAUUCGGCAACUUUUAUGGGAAAUCUUUUAAUUAAUUACCUUUUCUUUUAUAUUGCAAAUUCGAUGAUAUUUAGGUAAAUUUUAUUUAAAGCAAAGUUAUUAUUUAUGAUUUUUUUUAAGAGCAACUUUCACAUAUAGCAAACAAAAAAAUCAUAUUUGUAUGCUAUAGCAAGGUUUGCAUAAUUGCGCUCCAUAGCAAACAUAUAUAUGUAUAAUUCGCUAUACAUAUACAAUUGAAAGCUGUCUAUUUCGCUAUACAUAUAUACAAAAAGAAGCAAUUGUAUAAUUCGUUGGCUCCUCUUCAGAAUUGUAUAAUUUCGCUGGCAGGCCAUUUGUAUAAAUUAUUGUUAGCCUCUCGUUUGUAUAAAUCGUUGACAAAAAUAUUUGUAUAUAAAAAAUCGCUCUCUUUCGCUUUAUACAAACAUAAAUUAUACAUUAUACAAGCAUAAAACUGGGCAGGGGAAUAUUUUUAUUGUAUAAUUAUAAGUGUAUAGGACGAAUAUAUAUGUAUUUGCAUGUGUAUAUACAAUUUUCUCUCGCUUUAUACAAACAGAAACGCAAUUUAUACAAUUCUGUUGUAUAAACGAGAAAGAGAGAAAGACAAAAGAGAACUGGGCAGGGGAAUAUUUUUAUUGUAUAAUUAUAAGUGUAUAGGACGAAGAUAUAUGUAUUUGCAUGUGUAAAUACAAUUUUCUCUCGCUUUAUACAAACAGAAACGCAAUUUAUACAAUUCUGUUGUAUAAACGAGAAAGAGAGAAAGACAAAAGAGAACUGGGCAGGGGAAUAUUUUUAUUGUAUAAUUAUAAGUGUAUAGGACGAAUAUAUAUGUAUUUGCAUGUGUAUAUACAAUUUUCUCUCGCUUUAUACAAACAGAAACGCAAUUUAUACACUUCUGUUGUAUAAAGCGAGAGAGGCGAGCACAGAGGGGGUGAGCGAGAGAGGAGAGUGGCGAGCGAGAGUUUGAGGGAGAGAGGCGCUGACAAACAGUUUGCUACAGGACACAAUUAAAUCAAAGUGUGAUUAUACCAUUUAAUUUGAAUUAAUAGUUUGUCAUUAUGUACAAUUUUUCCUUUUUUUAAAUAGUGCUGACUAAGAGUUGGUUUCUUUUUUGGUGGAAAAAGUGUUGAAUGAGACGAAAACAUGUGUGAGACAGAUUUCAUAAUAUUAUUUUUUUGAAUAAAUAAAUAAAACAUCUUUGGACGUGCUUGGGUUUAUCUCAAUAAAUAAAAUAACAUCGUGUUAAAAAAAUUAAAUAAACUACGGCAUGGGUUACUCUUUUCUUUUAAUUUGAUUUAUCUGAUAAUUUUAUUAUUAUGGAUGAUUGGAUUUUAGGUAUAAUUAUUAUUAUUUAUUUUAUGAUGUUAAUUUAAUUAUAUAUGAUAUUCUCUCUAGUCCAUGUUAAGUGAAUUAAUGGGAUAUGAUACACUUUUAAGAAAAAUAUUUAAGAACAUUAAUUAAAUGUUAGUAUUAUCCUUUUUAUUAUUCUAAAACUAUUCUGGUAGAAAAUAUAAAGUAGUUAAGACUCUCAUUUAAAAUAUGGGUAAAUAUAGAAGAAAGAAAAAAAUCUCAACAAUUCUCUAGAACGUUUAAAAAUUACUUAGUUUAAACUAUGAAAAAAAGUAUUAACAAUUCAAUUAAUAUGUACCAGAAAGAGUAGUAGUUAGAGGUGGACAGGGUACAAUAUUAAAAAAAUUAAUUCAAUAAUUUUCAUUUUCAGUUUUAAGAAUGGUAUUUUACAAAAUAAUAAAUCAAUUUACGUAGUUUGUUACUUCAAUUUACUUAUGUUUAUAUAUUAGAUAAUUAUAACUUUGUCUUUUUAAGACAAGUCGCAAUUAUAUUAUACUAAAACUUUACACAUGUAAAAAUAUUCAAAAAAAAGGUAAAAGCAAUUUCUUUUGUUAGUCAAUUACAUAAAAAAUCAAGCGGUCAAAAUUCUAACAUAUAAAUUAUUAGUUCUGUUCUAUUUCAUUUUAUAGUGAAUUUGAUAUAUAUCGUAGCUAAACUAGCCCCUAAUAUUAGUAAUGAUAUAAACAAAAACAUCAAAACAACAAUUACAAACGAAGGCAAAUAUAAAAUCAUUUUAUAUCUGAUUUUAAAAAACACUUAAACAUCUAUAAAUACUUAAUCAUAAAUUCAAUUUUUAAUAUAUUUAAUAUUAACUUGAAACUAUUCUAAAAUAUCAUACCUUUUAAAUCCUGAAUUUUCUCUUAUUAAAAGUUAAUUUGACAAAAUAAUUUUUAGUGACUUUGUAAGUUAAUUCCUACGUAUAAAACUUGAAACGUAAUUAUUGCGGCCAAUUAACUUUUUAGAUGCUGUCUUUUCUCUGAGUAUGAGCCGUUAAAAGACAAUGAUAACAUGUUUAAUUUGAAACCAUUAAUCAUAGUUACAAUUAAUGUGUAUAAAAAAAAUCAAUCACAAGAAUAUAUUCCACCAUGAAAAUAUCAUAUGAUCAUUAUCUCAUGCACUAAUGAAAUGGUGUUUAUUAGUCUAAGCAAAAUACUUUCAUUUAUCCAAAGAUUUUAGCAUGUUAGUUUCACCAUUAAUUGUAUGAAGAAGAGAUAUUGACGUUCAAAUUUCACAAAAAUAUCUAUCUAAUCAUCCUAUUGUAUUCUAUUUUCUUUAAAAUUCAUAAUAACAUUUAAUUUAAUUGAUUAAAAUAAACAAAAAGUAUUCUAUUUCAAGAAGAGUAGACUAGAAUAAUCAAACGUCAUAGUGAAGAAUUUAAUGUUGGUAUUUAUUUAAAAUAAAAUAUAAAUUAGUCAGAGGAAGCAACUCUACUUUGAAAAUAAGAAAGAAAAACAAACUUCUCUUCAAUUUGUACCACGCACGACUUAUCCAAAACAAUACUUUGUAACUAAAAAUAAGGAAAGUAAUCAAUGUUUGUUGUAACUAAUUUGAAGUUUAAUUCAAAUUGAAGCAAUAAUUAUCUUUACAAAUUAUAGAACUAAAAAGGCCUUGCCAAAGUGAUAAAAUUGAGAAUUUAAGAUCCGUACAUGAGAAUGUAGAUAUAGUUUGUGUUUCAUAAUUUAUUUUUUAUUUUUUAUAUAAUUCAAGUAUAGGGAUUAGAUUGGUAAAAUAGAGAGCGCCCAAAUUGUCAUAACCAGAUUGAGUCUUCCCAUAUCUGUAAGGUAGGAGUACAAUAUGUAUACAUUACAUAUUUUUUGAAACUACGUCUAUAAAAUUAUACUAAAAGUAUUAUUAUUAUUAUUAUUAUUUUUGUUGUUAUUGUUGAGUUCUAACUCAAUCAAUGUUUUUCACACAAAACUUGGACAUAUACAUGAAAAUUAUUGUUUUUUUAGUAAAUAUUUAUCUAUGAAUCCAAAAUCUUAAAAGGUGUAAGUAGUUGGACAUUGAUUACAGGUUUAAACCAAAUGGUGCAAAGACCAUGGUGGAGCCUAUUUAGUAGUGUGUGCAAGUUUUUUUUUAAAAUAUUAAUUAUAUGAGGGGCAUGGAGCAAAAUUGAAGCAAUGAUGAAGUCAAACACUAUAUGAUGGUCAACUCUUCUUUUAUUCUUUUCUUCUUCUUUUUUUUUUUUUGCUUUUUUGUUUUGUUUUGGAUUUGAUUGAAGUAUGGUCAUUUUUCUUAUCCACCUCAGGUGUCCACAACAACCAGUAAAAGACAGCAUUAUACUUCCUUAAAUUUCAUUUGGUCUUUUCACACAAAAAGGCAAAAAAAAUUGUACAAAACUCAUAUUUUAGGUAGGGGAGUUUAACUUCUAGUGCAAUGUUUGUUUGUUUUUGUUUUUUCAUAUUUGAUGUUUGAUAUUCACAUUGAAGUUUGACUAAUUUGAAUUUGUGCCACGUAAGGCUCCAUUAGGUGAAAAACGCUAGCUAUCAAGGAUUUCUUCUCAUAUCCAAGACUCGAACUCGAGACUUCUAGUUAAAGAGGAACAACACCAUCCACUGCACCACAUCCUUUGAUUAUUUUGUGCAGAAGUCAUAUUUUAGGUUAUGGAUCAUUAGCUUUCUUCCUAGAUCAUGCAUUUAUAUAAGAAAAAGAUUUAUUAAAUGGACAAAUAUAUUUACCUCGAAAUCCAAUCCACUGGUUCAGUUAUUAAUUAAGUAUUUAAUAUUAACUUGAGAUCAUCGUCUAUAAUUAUAAGCUACUUUGUGUCAUGUUCAUUUUAGGGUUUAAAACAAGCAAAACAAAGAAAACAUAUAAACGUGAGUUACUUGGUGGACCACUCCCUCAAGAUAGAAAAAAAAACUUUUGUCCCAAAAAAAUGGACAUUUUUGUCCAAAACAACCAAACACUUUUUCUAAAGGAAUUGUCUUUUGCCUUUCUUGUAAACUAUCAUUAAAUAUAGUGUGUUUGGUACACAUAAUAUUUUUAUGAAGAAUUAUUUCAUUUUUUUUAUAGUAGAACCUUUUUUUUUAGCAAAAUAGAGAAAAUGUCUUCCCUCACAUAUUUAGGCAGAAUUUACAAGUGCUUAUAUUUUAUUCUUUUCAAACUCUACUGGCGGAAUUACUCUAAGUAAAUUAUUGUUUUUAUAAUCAACACUUAGUAUUAUUACAAAUAUUUAAUACGCAAAACUUCACUAUUACACCAACCUUACAUCAAUAAUCGGAAAUGACAUAAAUUCAAUAUCAAUAUGCAUAGAUUAAAUUAUCAAUGAGAAAUUUCAUGUUAUAAACUAAAUGUUGUACUAUUAGUUAAAUUUUUAUGGUGAGAUUAUUUCAUUAUGUCACCAAAACGACACCUAAUUAAGGACAUAAUUUAUUUUGGGAUUUGAAUAGAUAGUCCUAAUUAUAAUUAUUGAGAGACGAAACCUAAUAUAGCCGUUCUAAUCCCUUCCUACCCAAUACCCAUAAAGGGUUCUAUUAUAUAUGAAGUUUAAAAUUAACAGCAAAUUAAUAGAGUAUAGUAAUUACUUAGGUGAAGAAUUGAUAAUUAUUGGAGGGAGAAGAAUAAUAUUUGCAAGUUAGGUUCCAUACAUGGCCACUGAAAGCGUUUGAUAUAUAUAGAGGUAAAUAAUGAUGGAGUCGGAGUUUUCAUUAAUGAAGAGAUAUAACAAAAAUUACAAUUAUAUCAUUGAAUGCGCUAUCUUAAAAAAAAAUGCAACACCUUAAUAAUGUGUUGAACCUUCUAUCUGUGUCAUAAAAAUGACUUAUCUAUAUAAUAUAAUGUUUAGGUAUGGGUAUCGCUUGACACUCCUCGGGUAGGGGUAUAGCUCCACCCCUGCAUGUAAAUUACCAAACUUGAAUUGUGUGUGAUGGUUGAAGUUCAUUCACCUAUCAGAGGUCUCGAGUUCAAGCUCCUGAAAUAGAAAAAACAUGUUAAAAACAUAGCCCACAAAAUAGAUCUUAUAAUGUGCAAAUUCAAAUUUAGUCCUGAUAAAAUAUAUAUAUAUAUAUAUAUAUAUAUAUUAUCAGGACUAAAUUUGAAUUUGCACAUUAUAAGAUCUAUUUUGUGGGCUAUGUUUUUAACAUGUUUUUUCUAUUUCAGGAGCUUGAACUCGAGACCUCUGAUAGGUGAAUGAACUUCAACCAUCACACACAAUUCAAGUUUGGUAAUUUACAUGCAGGGGUGGAGCUAUACCCCUACCCGAGGAGUGUCAAGCGAUACCCAUACCUAAACAUUAUAUUAUAUAGAUAAGUCAUUUUUAUGACACAGAUAGAAGGUUCAACACAUUAUUAAGGUGUUGCAUUUUUUUUUAAGAUAGCGCAUUCAAUGAUAUAAUUGUAAUUUUUGUUAUAUCUCUUCAUUAAUGAAAACUCCGACUCCAUCAUUAUUUACCUCUAUAUAUAUCAAACGCUUUCAGUGGCCAUGUAUGGAACCUAACUUGCAAAUAUUAUUCUUCUCCCUCCAAUAAUUAUCAAUUCUUCACCUAAGUAAUUACUAUACUCUAUUAAUUUGCUGUUAAUUUUAAACUUCAUAUAUAAUAGAACCCUUUAUGGGUAUUGGGUAGGAAGGGAUUAGAACGGCUAUAUUAGGUUUCGUCUCUCAAUAAUUAUAAUUAGGACUAUCUAUUCAAAUCCAUAUGCCAAUAACACAUAACAGCUUGUAAAUUAUGGUAUUGUCAUGACACCUAUAUAUGACAAUUAUAUAUGGGUGGUUUUAUAUUAGUAUAUAGUUAUUAUUACUAGUUAAAAGGGAGGCAGCAAGUGGUACACCUAAUCACUCAAGCUUUAAGGACUACUUCUUAGAAGCAUAGUGGUAGUUGACGCACAAAUAAUUAUUCGUUGUAAGAGACAUUGAAGCAAAAUAUAAAGGUAGUACGUCACAUCAAAUUAAUAAAUUCGAGAUUACGAAGAUAGGGUUCAAAUCUCAGAAGAAACAAAAUAUUAAAUAUAUUUAAUGAAAUAAUGACUGUAUAAGUAAGUUGAUCGAAAUAUCACAAUUAUCUCAAAAAACAUAAAAACUACAUCUCAUGUAUGGGUGUACAAAAUCGAACCGAAAACUGAAUCAAACCGCAAAUCGAGUCAAACCGAAAAAAAAAUCCGACUAGUGAUUUGUUUUUGUUUUUUGUUUUUUGUUUUUUUUUACUCUCCCUAGGAAGCUCCCACCCCUUUUGCUCCCUUGGUGACUCGAACUCGCAACCUUUAGGUUGGAGGUGAGGGGUGCUUACCAUCCGAGCAACUCCCUCUCGUCUAGUGGUUUGGUUUGACUUGGUUUGGUAUUGAAAAAAAAACCGACUAUAUUUGGGUUGGUUUGGUUUUAACUAAAAAAAAUUAACUCGAGACCAAACCAACCCGACAUUAUAUAUGUAAUUUAAAAUUUUAUUUUAUACAUAAAAAUAUUUACUUUGAUAUAAUUUUAAAAUAUUUCUUAUACUAUUUCAUAGUUUUUAUUUUUUAAUAUAUUAUUUCAAGUUUAAAACUUAGAAUUUGGAAUGGUCCAAUAAAGAUUAUAGNNNNNNNNNNNNNNNNNNNNNNNNNNNNNNNNNNNNNNNNNNNNNNNNNNNNNNNNNNNNNNNNNNNNNNNNNNNNNNNNNNNNNNNNNNNNNNNNNNNNNNNNNNNNNNNNNNNNNNNNNNNNNNNNNNNNNNNNAUGAUCAUUUUCAUUAUGACUUUGCAAUAUUUAUUUAAUAUAAUGAUUUCAUUAUUAUUUUUUAUUGAAUAUUUUUGUGUCAUCAGUACUCAUCUCAUAUUUUGUGUUAUUUUUUUAAGAAACACCUUAGAUAAUUGUAUUUUGGUUGGACUAAAGAAAUAUUUGGAGCACAAGUUAAUUAUAUGUUUGUAUGCAAACUUUACCGGAAAAAUCCAAGGUUUAUUAGUUUGGUUUGAUUUAUAAAUUUUAAAAUUCAACACAAUGGUUUGGUUUGGUAUUUGAAAACCCGAACCAACCCGAGGUUGAAAAACCCAAAAAAAUCUGAAUUUUAUUAGUUUGGUUUGGUUUAUAAAUUUAAAAAAUUUACACAAAUGAUUUGGUUUGAGAUUUGAAAAACCCAAACCAACCCGGUCAUAUACACCCCUAAUCUCAGGAAUCAACUUUUAUAUACAUGAAUUUUAGAUUGCGUGUGUAUAUAUAUUUGUGUGACAAGAGGGAGUUGCUCGGAUGGUAAGCACCCCUCACUUCCAACUCGAAGGUUGCGAGUUCGAGUCACUAAGGGAGCAAAAGGGGUGGGAGCUCCUAGGGAGGGGUUUAAAAAAAAAAAACAAAAAAAAAAGUAUAUAUAUUUGUGUGUAUAGAGAUCGAGAGUGAGUGAGACUAAUUUUUGGAUUCUUUCCCCUUCAUCAUUUGAUUCGUUUGGUUUAUGGACUAAUUAUAAAAUUAUGUAUAAAUGUGUCAAAUAAUCCUUGUUAUAUUUAUAUGUUUUCCCCAAUUUAUUUAGUACUAUUUAUUUUUUUCGUUUGCUCCAUAAUAUUUCACCAAAUGAGCAUCCAAUGAUGUGGUUAAGUGAUUAUAAUAAAAUGAGUUGAGAAUCAUCAAAUCUUCCGAUGGAUCUACGUUUGCAGGUAUGGGUGAUUCAUCAAUAUUUUUAUAACUACUACAAAUUUAACAUGAGCAUCCACCAUCACAAAAAGUCCAAAUGUUGCAGAUUUAUGUUAAAAUAGGAGUCCAGUACCCAUUGCCUUGAAAUCCUAAUUGAUUCAUUACUGAUCGAUGAGGUUUCGAAUUCAAAUUUCAAGAGAGAUAACAUUUAUAUUAGAUGAUUUUGUUCAUUCGUUAAUUAAGUUUUGAUAAGUAAAGUUAUUAUAUAUGUGUUGGUGAAAGAUAAAAUAUACUCCAUAAUAUUGAUUCACCAAAUGAAAAAGAAUACUAUAGUCUAUAUAUAUAGCACUGUGUCCUGGCCUCAGCCUCUCAAGUCUCAACCAAAGAAAGUGAAAAGAGAGAGAUACAUAUAAGCCCCAAUAUUUCAGAUCUGUGACAGAAGAAUUGAAGUAUAGAAUAUUGUCUUUAAAAGGACACCCUUGAACAUGCACCCCAAAAAUAUUUACUUCUAUAAGAAGAGAUGAAAAAGAGAAGCAAACUCUAUGAGUAGCAAAAGGCACACAAAAAAAAAGUGGGUGGAGCGGGAGCCGUAGCAGAUUCAGAACUUUCACUAAAAUUUUAACGUGAAAUCAUAAGAUAUAUUUUAAACCCCUAAAUCGCUAAAACAACUUCUAAUCUUACGUAAUUUGUUACGAAGAGGAUUCAGAUGAACAUCCUCCGCCCCUCAGAUCCAACGGGGGGUGGGGAGAUAGUAGUUACUAGUAUUAAUUAAUUAGUUACUAAUAGUUUCUGGUGUUAUGGACCACAAAAGUGAGAUACGUGAUAUAAUUAGUGUUUGUUAAUUAUACACUUAAAACCUAUAAUAUGUAAUUGCCACUAGCUAAGCUAGUGAUAAGUGUAAAUUAUCUUUUGCAUUAUUUAAUCAAUGAUUGGCAUGAUAAUUAUUUGAGUGGUUUAAUUAAUCCAUAGCACGUGGCUCAUUUGACAGAUGUAAACUACUACUAAACUUUAUGAUUACGGAUUCUUCUUAUUAUUCUUCUACAUAAUUUCUCUAAUUAUAUAUCAUGUUCCUUUUGCUUUUUUCCUUUUGUAAGAUGCCUAAUGGAUAAAGUUGCAGUCCUAGUAAUUUUUUUCAAGAUAAAUAGUAUUUAAUUUGCUUUAAUUUAACAAUAUUUACUAUUAAGUGACGGUCAUUAGUCUAAUCAAUGCAAAUUUGCUUUAUGAUUAUGGUUUUAACAAGUGCAUGACUACUAAAAAUUUUGUUACGCGUACUGCAGAGCCCAUUUGGGGGUGACGCUCCCAAUGGAAUUUUCUUUAUACCUAGAGCUAGAACCCGAGACCUCUGGUUAAGGGUGAAACAGUCCCACCACUGUAUCACAACCCGUGUUGGUGAAUUUAAGAGUCUUUGAUAACUUAUAAAACAAUGUAAACAAAUUAAGUAUUUUUUUAAGAGCGAUGUGAUAUUACUAAUACUAGUUCGGAUCUUACUAAUAACACGCUUUUAGACGAUUGGCGUGCAUAAUCAAAUUCGUUAGCUCAUAAUUAAUAUGUUGUAACAACUCUAAUUAAUGAUGAUUAGUUAUUUCUCUACUAAUUUUUUUUUAUAAAUAUACUUUCCAACUAUACUAUAGAAUAUAAAAUCAAAGUUAUGAAAUGGUCAGUAGUAAACGGACAACAAAGGCAUAAUGUGCACGGAAUCUCCUUUUAAUUUGCAAUUACCUAAUAUAUUUCUUGCUUUUCAACUUUCAAGUUAGGCACCCAAUCUCUGUUUGUUACAUUGCCUUUUAAUUUUCCCAUCGACUAAUUGCUACUCAAAAUUUUGUGUUACCUAAAUUUUAGUGUUCUCACUUCAAUGUACCUAGAGACAGAAUUAAAAUUUCAAACUUUAUGAGUUUUGAAUUUUAGAAAUGACGAUUUCAACUUUAUCUGUUUAGUUUGAUUUUAUGUAUUACCAAUUCGGUUAAUAAAUUUAUAAACAUUAAAUCAAUAUUUUUUCAUAUCGCUUUUUGAUUAAUCUAUUAGCUGACGUUAAUGAUUCUCUAUUUUCGUUUUAGCCUAUAAGAAAUAUUAUUCUAAAAAUAAUUAUAUCUCUUAUUUUUAUUUGUUGUUCAUAUCUCUAAAUAAUAAGUAAUUUAAUAUAUAUAUAUAUAUAUAUAUAUAAUAUAUAAACACAAAAUAUUUUCAAAAAUAUUUAUAUAUAAGUUGAACAACAAUCAUGUGUUUGAUAACACCACCCUAACGGGAUCCCAGUUUGUUGCAGAAGAGCCAAAUCAUAGUGCACUUUCUGCUAGUGGUUAGACUACAUUUAAAAUUAAUUAUUCAAAUACUUUAAAUAUUUUCGUCCUUAUUAGAAAUAUUGAUAUUUUAUUUUUAUUUUUAAAUUUUAUUCAUAAUAGUAAUUAUUCUUCAACAUUAUAAAAAUCUUAAAUAUGGGAAAUGACAUACAAACAAAGUAAAUAUUUAAUUAAAAAAUUGUAUUUUAAGACAUAAAUACAAAUAUCUUAAUUAAUAUUUUUUAAAUGUAAAUAUAAACAUGACAAGUAUUUUCAAAUGUUUGUUUUCCUUCCUUACCUACCAAAGCAAAGCUGUUCACAUACUUUUUUCACUUUAAAUUAAUACUUCACAGUGGAAGAUAUACGUAUUGAAAAUUAAAAUGAAUAUUUGGAAGUAAUAAAAUAUUGUAUUAAACUUGUGGUUUCAAUUAAUUAUUUAAAUGGCCUAUGUACUACUGCCAAACUAACAGAAUAAAUAGGUGCAUAAGUCAUUUUCUUGCCAGAGGGACUCAAAAAUCAUUUUUAUCGGAAUUAAAAAAAAAUUGGAAAAGAGCUAGAGAGACUUGAAUUUAAUUUUAUUUAUUUCAUUUUCCCUUUUUUUUUGUUUUUGUUGAAAAAAAUAAUAUUUCAAAUGUCAAAUAUAGACACGUCACUGUUUAAUUUUCAAAAUGUCAACCAUUGUUGUGUUAAAAUUAAUACUAGCAAUCGUCUUUGUUUCUUCUUCUUAAUUUUAAAGAAUAAAGAAUAUCAAAUGUCUAUUUCGCGUAAGCUUUAUAAUUAAUUGAUUAAUUAAUAAAUAAAACAACGUCAAAAUAAGCAGCUAAAUAUGACAAAGAAUAAAGAAGAUUGCAGAUAUUUUUAAAGACAAAUUCUUUAUGGAGGUCCAUUAAUAUCCAUGUGAAUAUUUCCAAGAGUGUAUCGACUUAUGAUUAAUAUUAUUUUCACUAAAUUAAUGUUCUCUUGUAAGUAUAAAACUUUCUUGAAAGAUUUUAGCAUUUAGAAAAAUGUAAUGAGUUGUUAACUGAGUGACAAAUCAUCGGUCUAAUUAUUAAAAAUAUAAAAUAGAGUUUAUUAAGUUGUAUACAAAAUUUUAAUUUGGUCAAUUUAAAUCAUCGUUAAAAACUAAGUAUGUUAGAAGACAAAAGCUCAAAGAAAACAUAAGCAUGAUUACAAGUUUUGAUAUUUGAUUAAAUUCAAUAACUCAAAUAUGUUGACCACGUCUUUCCAAAAUAAAGUUAUUUCGCUAUAUUAAAAAUAAAUUUCACUCUUGUUUAUUUUAUUCUUAAUGCCCUUUUUCCUACUAAAAUUAUUGUCCUAAAUACACUUUUUGAAUUUAACUUCAAUUAUUGUUUUUUUUUUCAACUUCAACUACAUAUGGUCCAAAUUAAAUGUCUACUUCAGCAUAUUAUAAAUUUCAAAACCCUAGCACACCAAACUCCAAAUUUUGGUCUAAGUCUAAGAGAUGGGUUCCUCAAUCACAAGUUUGGUAGUUUGUGAAGAAAAUGACAUACCUAACAGAUACCAAGACUUUGGUUAAUUUCAUAUUCCUUAAUUUUCAAACAUAGAGUUAAUCAUAAUUCAUAUGUCAAUAUCAUUGUUAUUGUUUCAACCUCUAUAAGAGGAAAAUUGUCUCUAAUACAACGAAUUUUUGUGUACUAAAAUAUCUCAUGAAGAUCAAAAGGUCAUAUAGCUACAAUAAUAUGUGUAAUGACUGUUUGAGGUUUAAUAUCUUUGCAUAAAAAUAAAAAAUCCUACCUAAUGUAGGAGAAUUCCACGUCGAAUGAAAAAUGGAUGGGAGGUUGAAUUAGCUAGACCCAAAAUUCAUUCCAAUAUUGUUACCGAUGAUGUUAAGCCCCCUUAUUGAAUUGUCCACACAUCAGAUGUCCAAUCUUGAACUGAAGUAGGGUGUUGAAGAGUCUCACAUUGAAUGAAAAAAGGAUGGAUAAUCUCCUCGUAUGACUAGUUCGAAGUUGUGUUAGGCCCAAAAUCCAUUUCACUCAUUAUAAUAAUAUUUCGUUAAACGAUGUUCAACUGACCACAGGUUGUGUUGUUAUGAGUCAUUUAAAAGGAUUUUUUGUUGGACAGAAUAUUGAUAUAUUUUCGACAAAGAUUAAUAACAUAACCUAAUUUUGUGGGAGUACGAAGUUGGUGAGGACAUUCACAUACCCAUUGGUCCCAUCCAUUUUUGGGCCAGAAGGAUAUUUAGAUGAAAGAAACUGAAAAGGACAGCCCAAGCCCACAUUGGUUAUGUUGUUACCCCCACCAGAUAUAUAUUUGACAAUUCAUUAAUACUAUAUGAAAUAUUUUCGUACUUUUUCUGUUCAUAUUUGUAUAAAAAUUGACAGCGCUAUAAAUUCAUCAGAGAACAAUCGUCCAACGACUUGUCGUGAAUUACGUUGCGCGGAGUAAAAAUUGACAAAUUUUUCUAGCAUGUUAUGAUUUUUUAUCCAUUCUGAAAAGUAAUAACAAAAUAGUCAUAUUUUAACGUAAAGAAAUAUAAUCAGCUAAAAAUAACUCUCAAUUCAAAUUUUGGAAAAACUUAUACAGAUUAUAUGUUUCUUGGUUUCAAGAUUGUAAAGGCUUGAAACUGUAAAUUAAUCCUUGGUUUUGAAACUCUAGCAAAUUUUCAAAACUCAUGAUAUAUUCCUUGGUCUUAAACUUAUAUAGGUUUGAAACUUGUGAAUUCUUCUUUAAUUUUGAAACUCAUAACAAAUUUUUGAAAACAAUUAUGUGUAUAAGAUUUGGACUAGCUAGGAGUGUAAAUUAGCACAUAAAAACAUGACUCGUGCAAUCCGCCAGAUGUGUCUUACCAAUUUCAGCCCCCACAUAAAGCAUGUCUUAACACAUUUCUGCCCAUCUAAAUGUGGGCUAAUAUUUAACUUAAAUUGAUCCAUACAAACCUUACUAGUAAAAUAUUUUGAUUUUCUUUUUUGGAGGGGAAAGGGGGUAAAUGUAUUUUUUGGGGGGAAGGGGGUAAAUAUUAUUUAUAGCCAUAAUAAAGGGGGUAAAUAGUUAUAUUAAAUAAUUAAAAAUUAUAAGAGAACAAACAAAGAAAUUAAAACAUAUUAAGAAAUGAAUGGUCGUAUCAUUAAACCAUCCCUUUAUUAACUUAAUUCAUUUUAAUCCGUCCAAAUCUGAUCCAAACUUUCUAUGCGAAACCACUAAUUUGUACCCCAUAAAUCCUUUCUUGGUUUUAAGCCUUGUGAGGUUUUUUGUCCCGCAUUUUAGUUGAUAUUUUUGUCAAAAACCAAAUUUGAGACAAAAAAUGGCUAAAUGUUAAAUAGUUUUUACAAUACUAUUUGAUAGACGUUAAAAUUGGCCAUUUUCCCAUUUCGUCCGUUGCGUGGUAAUAUGGGAUUUUGACAUGUUAUUGUAGGCAAGAAAAGCCCAAAAAAUAAGCCCACGUAUAUGCACUGCAAAUUCGAGUGGAGGCCCAACUUUUAGUCAUAUAUACUAUUUAAAUAAAUUUUACACAUAAUUUUAUGUUUGGGGAAACUAAGCAAAUACCCCAUAAAUGUAAAAUAAUACAAACAUAUACCCCUUUAUAUUCAUACCCCACUAAAUAAUUACAUUAUAUACCCCAAACUAAUUUUGUUUAACUUAUACUAAAUAAAUACCGUAUAUUGCAUUGAUAUCAUUAAUGCUGAUAAUUUUUCUUAAUUGAUACUAAAUCAGUACAUAUAAAUUGUAUUAGUAUCAUUAAGGUUUAUACUCUUAUAGGAUCAUUGACUAAUGAGUAAUUUAUGAACAAGAAACCUUAAUGAUACUAUAUAUAUACUCUUAUAUAUAGUAUAUAAGAGUAUAUAUAUAGUAUCAUUGACUAAUGAGUAAUUUCUGAACAAGAAAUCUUAAUGAUACCACAACUAUAUACAUAUACUCUUAUAAUAUCAUUAACUAAUGAAUAAUUUCCAAACAAGAAAUCUUAAUGAUACCACAACAAUAUACAUAUACUCUUAUAGUAUCAUUGACUAAUGAGUAAUUUAUAAAAAAGAAACAUUUAAUGAUAACAAUACAAUAUAUAUAUACCAAUUUAGUAUCAGUUAAGUGAAAUUGUCAGUUUUAAUGAUACCAAUACGAUAUAUGAUGUUGAUUAAGUAUCAGUUCAACAAAAAUUAUCAGCCUUAAUGAAGGGGGUAUGGGCUGUAAUUAUUUAUGAGAGAAUGGGUAUUUCUUGAAUAACUUUGGAUUUAGGGAUGACAAUGGGGCGGUGCGGGGUAGGGUGGGUUGGGUUGAGCUUAACCCGUAAAAAUUUUAACCCGCUCCGCAUAAUUUUUUUUUAAUUAUUUAUUUUUCUAGUUAAGUUUGGUACUAAAAAUAAAAUUCAUAAAAAUAAAUUCAUUUUUUCAUUAAGUUGUAUUAAUUUAAUAGGAUAGUAACUUAAAUUUUAUUUUUUAGAGGUCAAUUGGAAAACAUGUAAGAAAUUGAAUUAUUUUUAUUGAACAUUUUCAUUUACUAUCUUGAAUAUUUUAGUAGCUUUAAGGAAUUUACCUUAAUAAAUGAUGCUCAAUCACUUUUAUAACAUGUAAAAAAUUAAAAUUAAGUUUAAACUCACAUACAAUCACAUAUACCCGCAACCCUCCCUGCCCCGCAUUAGUUUUAAAUAAACCCACUUCAAUCCGCCCCGCACAACCUUAAACCUGCUCUGCGCCGCAUAGCCUUAAACCCACUCCACCCUGCAUCCGAUCCCGCCCCACUGCCAUCCCUAUUUGGAUUUGAAUAUGAAUAUGUAAUUAUUUUGAAUUUUAUGGCCCAUUUAUAUAGUUUUCUAUAAAUUUUCGAGAAAAUACAUAAUUACCCCGUCGAAUUUAUACCCUUUUUUGAAGUAGACACUUUAAGUUCGUGAAAGUCCUAUUACCCCACGAAAUUAUUUUCAACCACAAUAAAUACACUAUUUUAACAUCAUCUGCAAUCUCAUGGCCAGCGAGUGUCUCACCUCCAAUUAAAAUAAUGUAACUGUAUUUUUUCUUGGCUCUUUAAUAAAGGGUUGGGUAAAACCCAGACUCGUUCAAAAUCUUGACUAAUUCCCCUUUUUAUCUUAAAUAUUUUGUACAUAAAUCACGAUGACUAGAAAAUUUUAGAAACUCCAUUGCAGAUGUUUGUAUAACUUUUACAGUGGCUGAUAGAAAAAGCUUCAUCAUUGGAGAAUUUCAUAGUGACGACUCAAAUGGCAUCUUUUUUGUUUAUGGGUACACAAGAAUGUGAUCAAGUUAAGUAAACAAUACAGGCUCAAUAUGAUUAAAACCCUCUUCGAAGAAGCAGGAAACAAACGGAUGCAUCUCAUGUCCUUCAUCGAUCUAUCUGUUAUCGAACCCUAAAUGGUACGAACGUGCAUUAGUCUUUGCAGUCCAAGGUGUAUUCUUCAACUCAUUCAGAUUUGACGUCCCCAAAUUAGCUUAUCAAAUUGUUGGGUACUUAGAGAAAGAAACAAUGAAUUUGUAAACAGAGUAUUUUGGUUGUUAAAGAAAAGGGACUUUUCGAGAACUCGCCAACUCCAAAAGUUCAUUUGGCAUCUCGCAUUUAUAGAUCGAACUAUUGAAUUGAGAGAAGAGAAUUUUUUUUGGCUAAACAUGGAGGGCUCUUCAAUGGCAAUCAGGAGGUUUGUGGAAGAUGGAAAAUGGUCUAUUUAAUAAAGAAAAUAAUUUUUUUAAUUGGUAUGCCACAUGGCACUAAAACAUUGUCUUAUGGAUUAAUUUCUACUCCUUCACACGCUCUCGAAUUUGAGAUUGCACAUGCUCUGAAAAUGGGUUAAAAUGGUGUAUUUAUCAUGGUUAAAAAUAGUUUCGUGGGGUAAUAGGACCCCCGCAAACUUAAGGUGUCUACUUCAAAAAAAAAGUAUAAGUUCGAUGGGGUAACUAUGAAUUUCCUCUAAAUUUUCCUUUAUAUUUCGCGUCAAAAGUUAUGAAUUCAAUUUGAACUCUUUUAAUUAUUUCUAAACACGCCUUUUAGAGGACAAAAGAAAACAAUCCAAAAUAUACCGUAUUACAAGUUCAAACCAUUGGAUUUAAGUCUCAUCUCGAUUUUUCUUUUAACUAUGUGAUUCUUUUUUAGCAAAUCGCCAAGAUGAUGUUUGCAAGGUCAUUUUCUUUUAUUUAAAUUGUAUAAAGAAAAAAUUACUUAGAUGGGUAUCUUUUAAUAAAUAAUUACUUAUUUUAGCGAUACUUUUUAUUCAUUAUCAUUUAUAGCAAUACUAUAUUAAAUCUGUAAUAUGUAUUAAAAGUGAAUUAUGUAUGCAAUAUAUAUGUAUUAUAACUAUAUUUUUUUAAAAUAUAUUAUGUUUGUUUGGCAAGAAAUUGACACAUUAUAUUAUAAGUGUAUUAAAAUGUGUGUUAAAUGUAUGAUAUAUCAAUAAAACUUGUAUUAUAUGUGAAUAAUAAAUUGUUCUUUGUAAUAUGUAUUAAAACUAAGCGUGGCAACGGGACAGGAACCGGUAAUUUCGGAAAAAAAUAUGCAUACCCGUCCCGGGACCGGAAACCGGGUCCCAACCGCUAUAUUUUUUAAAAAAAAAUUAAAAUUAAAAAAUUAGUAACAUUACUCAAAUAAUAGUAAAACUUUUAUAAUUUUAAAGUUAAAAAUUUAUACUUUUAAAGUUUUAAGUAUAAACUUUCAAACUACUUUCAAACUUUAAAAGUGCAUGUGCCAAGUCAUGGUUCACCAUUAUUUCACGUGUUUUGGCUUCAAUUCCCUUAUCCCCCUUAUAAUUCUUCCAUUCAUCAUCCAUGACCAUUUUCUCCAAAGAAGAUUUCACUUUGCGAAUUCGGGUGAUCAUAAUGGUGUGUGAGGCAAAUCUUGUUUCACCAACCUUCAACAAACACAAAUCCGAAUAUUUUUGAAAAAGUGCAUGUGCCAAGUCAUGGUUCACAACAAAGUUCUUCAAAUUACUCACUUCACUAAGUAACUCUAAAAUCCAUUUACAACUAGUAAAGUGAGGUGAUUUUUCCGAAGGUUGGCACAUACUUUUCAAAGCUAGAUUCAAACAAUGAACAACACAAGGAGUCCAAAAUAUAUGAGGAUAUUUUUGCUCCACAAUAGUACCGGCAAGUUUCAUAUUACUUGCAUUAUCCGUAAUAACUUGAACAACAUUGUUUGAACCUACAUUUUCUAUUGCUUCAAUAAAUAAGUUAGCAAUAUAUUCACCAUCUUUUACGAUUCCACUAGAAUUGAUUGAAUUUAAAAACAUUGGACCUCCACUAGAUGAUGCCAUUAUAUUGAUCAAAGGUCGUCUUUUAGUAUCGGUCCAUCCAUCCGAACAAAUCGACAAUCCUUUCUUUUUCCAUGUACCUUUAAUUGGUUGCAACUUUCUAUCAAUAUGUGUUUUUUCUUGAGCUAAAAGAGUUGUCCUCAAUCUAUUAUAUGAUGGGGGAAUAUAACCGGGAAUGGAAUUUUCGGCUAGAAACUUAGAAUAUUUUUUAAAAUAAGGAGAGUUUGCAAAGUUGAACGAUAAACCUGAUGCGUAGAACAUCCUAGCGGCUAAUUUGUCGGCCGUAUUUCUCUCAUAGAUGCCGAAUGAUUUUCCUAUAGCUCCACUACUCGAACUCUUUCUCUUUUUUUGUUGAAUUAAAUCAGUCCCCUCCGGAAGUGAUAUAUAAUCAGCUUUGUUUCUUGCAUCAACUUGAACAACGGUUCUUUUUCUUUCGGCUUGUUCAUGCUCCAUCUUCAAAGUCGCAUAUAUAUCACCACUACUUUCUUUACAUAUUUGAACACCAUGACCCGAUAAUCUCAAAAGAUGUGCUUUCACCCUAUUAUAUGAUCCCGUAACUAUUUUAUUGCCAUAGUUACAAGACCAUGCUAUAUUCCCACCCCCAUCUGGAGCAAUCAAAAUAACUUUCACAUGAUUCCAUAGAGGUUUAUCAUCAAAAUCUACUCCUACACUUUUUGUAGGUCUCAUAAAAUAUUUUCCUUUUUGACUACUUGAUGACAUCUUGUUAAACAAAGGAAAAUGAAUUUUUUUUUGGUUUACAGUGAACUUGAAUGAAAAAUCAAAGAAGAAACUACUCUACUGGAAAAUGAAAUUUUUUUUGGUUUUAGGAGGGAAAAGUUGGUGACAAUGGAAAGAUUUUUGGACUAAGUUGAUGGCUGAUGGGAUGUCAUCUUUUUUAUGUUACUCUACUUGGAAGACUUUUUGAGCUUUUCUUUUUUUCAAGAGGAGUGUAUGUAUUGUGUACAUAUAUUUUUACUAUUUUAAUUUGAAUUGUUUUUAUAGUUCUAAUAGAAAUAAAAUUAUUUUAUCUAAUUUUAAUUUAUGUGAGAUCGUUUGGAUAGAAUGUUUUUAUCUAGCGAGACAUGAUCCUCGAUCUGGAUAUGAUAUAUAUAUAUUUCUAGUAUUUCGAUAGUUCGAAGCUUAUAAUGAUAGAAAGAAUCAAAAGAUCUAGUAAAACGGGAUCCUUAAAGCGCUUGUAUUGAUAUGAAGAAUUAAGUGAUCUAGCGAGACAUGAUCCUUGAUCUGGAUAUGAUAUUGUGCGUGAAACUAUAUAUAUAUAUAUUUUUUCUAGUAUUUUGAUAGUUCGAAGCUUGUAUUGAUAGAAAGAAUCAAAAAAUAUAGUAAGACGGGAUCCUUAAAGCGCUUGUAUUGAUAUGAAGAAUUAAGUGAUCUAGCGAGACAUGAUCCUUGAUCUGGAUAUGAUAUUGUGCGUGAAACUAUAUAUAUAUAUAUUUUUUCUAGUAUUUUGAUAGUUCGAAGUUUAUAUUGAUUGAAAGAAUCAAAAGAUUUAGUAAGACGGGAUCCUUGAUGCGCUUGUAUUGAUAGGAAGAAUUAAGUGAUCUAGAGAGACAUGAUCCUUGAUCUGGAUAUGAUAUUGUGUGUGAAACUAUAUCGUCUUUUUUUCUAGUAUUUUGAUAGUUCGAAGUUUGUAUUGAUUGAAAGAAUCAAAAGAUUUAGUAAGACGGGAUCCUUAAAGCGCUUGUAUUGAUAGGAAGAAUUAAGUGAUCUAGCGAGACAUGAUCCUUGAUCUGGAUAUGAUAUUGUGCGUGAAACUAUACAUAUUUCUAGUAUUUCGAUAGUUUGAAGCUUGUAAUGAUAGAAAGAAUCAAAAGAUCUAGUAAGACGGGAUCCUUAAAGCGCUUGUAUUGAUAGGAAGAAUUAAGUGAUCUAGCGAGACAUGAUCCUUGAUCUGGAUAUGAUAUUGUGCGUGAAACUUGAUUUGGUUUGGUUUGAUUUUUCUCUUUUAUAUUUGAAUUUUUUCGGUUCGAUUAUUUGGUUAUGUCAUAAUUAGAAACAUAAUCAAAGUUAUAUUUGCAAUUUUAUAUAUAUAUAUAAUUUGGUUUUUUUCGAUUUCUCCCUUCUUUUUUCUAGAAUCCGAAACCAAAACAAGAAAUCAAUCAAUAUAAAUAUUAAUCCAAAAUUAAAUAAAAAAAUUAAUCCAAAUUAGAAUUCGAUUCAAAUUUAAUGUAAAUUAUUAGCAUGUAUUUAAAAAUAUUUACAUAAUAAUAGUAAUAUUAAUCAGUAAUUAAUUCAUGCAAGUAAAUAUUUACACAUAAAGCACCUUUCAAAUAAAAAUCUCUAUAAUAUUGUUAGAUCCCAUUUUUCAAUCCAACUCGUCCUAUUUAUAUGGACAAAAUAUUUAUCUUUCAAAAUAUUGUUCCCUUCUCUCCUUUUCUAACGUCUCUUUUCCUAUUUUUGGACUAGUUGAUGGCUGAUGGGAUGUCAUCUUUUUUAUGUUACUCUACUUGGAAGACUUUUUGAGUGUAUGUAUUGUGUACAUAUAUUUUCAAGAAAGAUAAAAAAAAAAACUCUGUAUUUCCUUUACUUUUUCAAGAAAAAACUCUUCUUUCUUCUCUUCUCUGUACUUUUUCAACUUUGUCCUCUUUACAUCGCCGUCACCGGAAAUUGAUUUUUUCUUCCCCAAAUCUUUUCUCGGCUUCGGUCAAAGUGUCCCAAGUUGAUAAAGUAUAUAAGUUCUUUUUAAAAAAAAUAAUAAUUAAAAAUAAAAUAAAAAUAUGCAGUUGUAACGUGUUAGAUUCCAUUUUUUGUGGAAAGAGAAAUUUAAUUACCUUUACGUAACCUUUUUAUUUAAUACUCUACGAUUAAAUAAUAACUUAAAUAUGGUGAUUAACGUUUGUGUGUGUUUGAUGCCCUUUUUUUGUGAAAAAUAUUUUAAAUUAGUUAAACUUUAUUAUUUAAAAUUAUCAUCUAAUAAAUCCUUAAAUUAUAAACCCCUGUAAAUUUCUUUCAAAAUUGAUCAUUUAAAUAAUAUUUAAUAUUUUAAGUUUUAUAUCAGAUUUUUUCUUAUUUACAUUUUAAAAUAAAUAUUUUUUUUUAGAAAAUUAAAAAAUUCAACCAAUAAUAACAAUAACAACAACAACAACAACAAUAAUAAUAAUAAUAUAAAAACACAUCACCUAAAUAGGGCGUUUUAAUAUUCCUUUUUUAAAAAUAAAUAAAUAAAGUAAUUAUCCAACUAAAUAGGGAGUUUUUUAAAAAUUAAAACUUCUCAUUUUUAGUCCUACUUAUAAACAAAUUGAAAAAAAAUUAAAAUUAAAAUUAUUUAAAUUAUUUCUCUAAAAAAACAUACUAACUAAACAAUCUGUUUAGUUUACGUGAAAAUUUCUUCUUUGUUUUAUUUUCUUAAAAUUAUUUUUAUUCUGACAAUUAAAAUUUAAUAAAAAUAAUAAUAAUAAUAAUAACAACAACAACAAUUAUAAUAAUAAUAUAAAAAACAUCCACCUAAAUAGGACGUUUUGAUCGUUAUCUUGAAAAAAAAAAGUAAUUAUCCAACUAGAUAGGGAGUUUUAAUAUUUUCCCAUUACACUCCUACUUCUAAACAAAUUGAAAAACUUUUAAUUAAAAUUAUUUCUUUAAAAAAAUGUACUAACUAUUGUUUAGUUUACGUUAACUAAAUAUCUUAUUUGCUUUUAUUUCUAAAAUUAAAAUUUUAUUUUGACAAUUAAAAUUUUAAAAUUCAAAAACUGAAUGCUAAACAAUUAAAUAAGAAAUAUGAAGUUAAAUUUUUUUAGAUAUCUCCAUCAUUAUUUUAAAAUUUUAAAAUUGAUUGUCAAAAAAUUAAAUAAGAAAUAUCUAUCUAUAUAUAUAUAUAUAUAUAUAUUAUUUCCAACUGAUUUUUUUUUUCUAACGUCUCUUUUCCUAUUAAGUUGGUGAGAAUGAAAAAGAUUUUGGACUAGUUGAUGGCUGAUGGGAUGUUUCUUUUUCUGACACUACUCUACUUGGAAGACUUUUUAUCUUUCUUUUUUUCAAGGGUAUAUGUAUUGUGUACAUAUAUUUUCAAGAAAGAUUAAAAAAAAGAUUCUCUAUUUCCUUUACUUUUUGAAGAAAAAACUCUUCUUUCUUCUCUUCUCUUUACUUUUUCAAUUUUGUCUUCUUUACGUCGCGUCGCCCUCGCCGGAAACUGAUUUUCUCUUCUUUCUUCUAUUUUCUGUACUUUUUCAAGCUUUGUACUCUUUACGUCGCCGAAAACUGAUUUUUUCUUCCCCAAAUCUUUUCUCGGCUUCCAUCAAAGUGUCCGGAUCGGAUUGACCGAAUCCGACACGCACCCCGCACCCGCACCCGCACCUGUGUUGCAUCGAGACGGAUUCGCCUGCAAAUAUGAAGAGUCCGCACAACAUAGUCGGGAGCAGGACAACGAAAGGGAGCAGGAGCCGAGGAAGAGGGACUGAGAGUGGGAGUAGUAGCCGUAAUUGGCUCAGUUUCAUCAUCAUUAUAUUCAUCAACAUUAUUAUCAAAAGUAUUAAUAUAAUCAUUAACAUCAUCAUGUUCAUCAUCUUCAGGUAAUUCCUCAUCAAAAUUACCAAACAUUCUUUGUAAUUGUUCAUGAUAAGGAUCUAAUCCACUAUUACUAUAAAUAUUAAAAACAGUUUCAUUAACAUGCAUAUAAUCAUCCGUAUUUAUUCUUAAUUGAGUAAGUUUUGUUAGUUUUAGAUUUAGAAGUACUACCGAUUUUUUAUUUUUCUUGGAUUUUGAGGUAGAUAAAUUAGUGAACGAAUUAACUAUGGUUGUUGUACCCUUUCAAUAAUGUUUUUACCGAAAUCCAUAUUCAAAUAUAAAAAGUGAGUAAAAUUAUAUAUUAUACGAAAAUGUAAUGCAAAGUUUUAAACAAAUAAAUAACUAAAUAAGUAGAGACUAGAGACUAAUUACUCACAAAAUAAAUAAUUAAAUGCAAACAAAUAAAUAACUAAAUGAAAAGUGAGUUGGAACGAAUGUACCAAACGUCUACUUAAAAAAGUAGAUGUGUAUGCCGAAAAUUGAAAGUUGAAUUUUGAAGCUCCAAUUUCCAAAGAUCAAAUUCGUAAAUUUAAUGUUAAUGAGAGAUUAGAGAGUGAGACUUUUGAGAAUUGUUGAGAGAGUAGAAGAUAAUAUUUUUGUGAGUGAAAAGAAUGAAGGAUUUGGGGUAUUUAUAGUUAAAAAAAAGGAUGAAAAUGUAGUUUUUAGAAGGUUGGGGUGUUAAAAAAUGUUUGAGGGGGUAGGGGGUGUUUUGGGGAGUUGUGGGGGUGAAAGAGCUGUUGUGGGCCCCAAAAGACGUUGGCCAACGGCUCCUACAACGACUAAUUGCAAUUUUUUUUUUAAAAUGGACCGGAACCAGGACUAACCGGUAAAUCCCGGUUUCUGUCCCGUUACCCCUCCUGGACCCGCUACUAACCGGACCUAACCGGUACAAGCCGGAAUCGAGACGGAAUCGGUAACGGACCGGAACCAGAACCGGCACCUCCCGAUUCCGUUGCCAGACUUAAUUAAAACUAUAUUAUAAAUGUAUUAAAACUGAUCAAAUGAAGAAUUUUUAUUUUAUUUUUUAUCAUAGUAUAUUUAUAUAAGUUUCCCUAAUAAUAACGUGUACUCGAUAUGGUGCAUGUUCAUCUUACCAAUGAGAGGCCCAACUACAAAAUUGGAAGAAGGCAAUACUCAUAUUUUAGAAGUUCUUUGUGGGCUAUUCAGAUGAGUGGUGAUACAAGACCACACAAUAUUGUUGAUGGAUCACUAGGACCAUUGAGCCCAAAUUAAAAUUUGGGCCACUUCGUUCCAAAUUAGAUAAAAUAGUCAAAUACCUAGUCUUUAUAUUAUUAAAAAACAAGAAUUUGUCAAGAAGUUAAAAUAAAUUAUUAUUUGGUCAUUCUUCAAUAAAAAAUAAAUUUGGACAAUAACAAAGCUAAAACACAGAAAAAUUAUUUUUGGUAAAGUUUUGAACUGUGAUUAAUCAAAAUUCAGGAAAAAAAUUAGUGGAAUUUGAGAAAUGAGUGUUAGUCGAAAUUUUCUUUUUCCUGAUGACUUUAUCAUUUUUUCAUGAACUCCAAUUUAGUUAUUGGCAUUGAUAAGUUCCCAAAAGCAAAAUAAAUAAAUUAUUACAUGUUCCAUAAUCAUUUUCACUGUUUAAUUAUCAUCAUUUAUCUACUAUUUACUCUGUUUUAGUAUACACCUAUAAAUAACAUAUACAAAAUUAUAAGAGAUAUUUAAUACAUUCGUAUAUAUAAAAUAAUAUAUACUAUCAUACAACAAAUAAACUUUGUCCUCUUUCUUGAAUUCAAAAUAAGAUUCAUUCGAAAACAUCUCAAAACUAAAUCAGAUCACCUAAAAUUUCAUAUUCAAGCUCAACAAUACAUAAUCAUUUUUUUGCAAUAAUAUCCACUUGUAACAAAGUUUAUUUGAAAAAAUGUGGUGUAAAGAUUUGUUGUUUGUUGGUUGUUAAAACAAAUAUGGGACCCACAUUCCACUUGUCCAUCAAAGAAUGGGACUCACGCGUUGUGCAAUUGGACAUGAUGAUGACACAUCAGGACCACCCAUUCUCCCCCUUUAAUUAUUGUACUACGAUUUUUAUUAUUUUGUGUAGAAGGUACUAGGAUAUUUAAUGUAUGAAUGGAUUUAUGUAGAUAUUAACAAUCUAGAGAUAAUUAUAAAAAAAUAUAUAUUUUAUUUUAUAUAAAUAUUAGUUAAAUUUUCUGAGGGAGUUGUAUCACCCAAAUUAAAUUUUAUUAGAUUGAUUAUAAAAUUUUAAAAAUUAAAGCAGAGAUUUGAAAUUUAUAUAAAAUAAAUAAAUAAUGAAUUGAAUCAAAUAGGUUUAUUUAACAAAUAACACAUUCAAUUAACUCACAAAUAUCAUGUGGUGAUAUUUUUUUUUUUUAAUUAGUAAAUAUUAAUCAAAUCACAUUUCAAAUAUUGUAUUAAUUUAUACUGAAUUUAUGUAACAACAAACAACUUAUGUUAAGUACACUUUCUGGAUACUCCUAUAAACGGUGCAUUAUUAUUAUUUAGUAAGAUAUAAGGCAUUAUUAUCAUUAAAAAAUAUUUCUGAAUCACUUUAAUUUGAAUACAUAAAUAGUAAACUCUGCGUUCAAAAUUCUAAUUAUUCAUUAUAUUCACCUAUAAUACACGAUUAUAUUUAGAAAUAGAGUUAUCAAAUGAGUGAAUUUCUCUGAAUAAAUAAAUAAAACUAGAUUAAGUUAAAAAUGAACAUAGUAAUAAAUCGUCUAAAUAUAAGUAGUUUAUUUUUUUAGAAAAAUACUUCUAAUUUUUUUUUUUACCAACCAAUAAUAACAAAUUCACUCAUAAAAGGAAUUUGAAGUAACAGAGAAUUAACCAAUAAAAAAUAAAAAAUUAAGCUACUGUUAAUGGCAAGUAUGUAUUAAGCCAAAAUAUGAGGGAUUAGAGAAGUAAUUGAGCCCUUUAAAAAAGAUUUAAGUAUUAAUUAGUGUCGAGAAUACGUAGGAGUAGGUAUAUACCAGGUCAAGAAAUUGUGACUUUGGUGGGACCCAGCUGUACAUCAUAAAUAUCUUUAGAUUUGGAUCCUGAUUUUUUUUUAUAGGCAAUGCCGUGCAAAAAAUAUCUAGGACCUUCAAACUCACGUUUAACCAUAGUUUAGUCACCAAAAGUUUAUCUACUAACGGCGCAAACGGCACUAGUAUAUCCCCAUAUAAUAUUCCACCCUAUGUCUCAAAGAUUUCUUAACUAGUCCCUUUCCUAUCUUUUUCUUAUUUUUUGGUCCCUAUUUUUUUUUUCUAACCAUUUUUUUGAACAUACAUUUUAAGCGAGGCGAAAUCGUAUAAAAGAUUAUAUGGUAUAAAUAUCUUGAGGUUAUUUACAUGAUGUCCCUUUCAAUUAAACUAUAUAAGCUUAUGGGCUAAUAAUAUUGAUAAAAAUCUUAUAAGUUAAUUACAUGAUAUGAAGUAUGUAAAAUUCAUGUAUAGAAUAAAAUUGUAACAAAAAUACUAAGAUAGAAAUAACGCACACAAAUAACUCAAUGAUAUGGUAUUAUGAUGUGGAAUCAUGAUGUGGUAUCAUGAGAUGAAAUUGAUAUUUUGUUUGGACAUGCGAUAUUAAAUUUUUGUGUUGUAUAUUUUCUCAUAAAUAUAAAAUCUCAUAAGUUGUAAAACUAUUAAAAUAGUCUCAAUUGUUUAUUCAAUCUUAUCAAAUAAACAAAAAAUUAUAAAAUUGCAUAAUAAAUUAUUACAAAUCUAUUUGUUCUCCAUUUAAGUAAUUGUUUCAUCUAACUUUAAUUUAAUAAAAAAAAUUGAACAUAAAUUGCAGUGUUCUAGUCUUUAAUAUAAUCCUCCCACAUAGUACAAACAAUUUUCUCACAUUGAACUUGCAUUUCUCGAUCAUGUGACCGAGAAGACGAACCAACAUUGUUACUUCGAGCCAUUUGUUGGUCAAUAUCACCCGCAACUAUAUUUUCAUGCUCAUAGACCAUAAAUAUUUCAUCAGUACUUUGGUAUUUUUGCAAAUAAUUAUGUAACACUGCACUAGCUAUGAUAAUUUUCACAUGUGUAUCAAUAUCAUAAUGGUUCAUGCCUUGUUUUAGUAUUCUAAAUCUAUUUUUUCAAGCUCCAAAAUUCCAUUCAAUCACACUGCGCAAAGAUGAAUGUCUAUAAUUAAACAGUUCUUUGACAUUUUGAAGCUCUCUUUCACUUCCUCGGUAAUCUUGCAAAUGAUAGCGUAGUCCUUUGUAUGGAGCUAAAAAUUAUUUUGUGUUUCGAAAACCAGCAUCAACAACAUAAUAUUUAUCUACCAACAAACAUUUUAGAAAGAAUAGUUACUAAAAACAUAUGUGACGUAAAUGAGACAACUUUGUGUAAAUAAAUAAUAUUUAUCCUAAAGAUGUAAUUUAAAGUUACCAUGUGGCGGAAAUGGAAAUUAUGACGUUGGUUCAACAAGUGCUCUUCAAGAUUUUAUGGUUGAGUAUAAAUAAGGAAAAUUCACGCAAUAUACACAUUUAAGAGUAAAUUUUACGGGUUUUAAACACACUUUUAAACAAUUCUUACUUAUAACAGUUUAUUUACGGGUUAUGACAUAUCAAUUAAAUUUAAAAAAUCAAUUUCAAUUUAUUUAAUAAAUGAUUAAUCUGUUUAUAUUUUUAUAUUAUUAAUUAAUAAUAUUUAAUUAAUUUGAUUUCAGUUCCUUUUUUAAAACUGAAAUUAUUAGUUACACCUAUUAAGGGAUUUACAUAUAUUAGACUUCCUUGUUUACUGUUACACUCCAAACCUCACAUACCUCAAUCCCACCACCCUCAAUCCACGCCUAUUCAAAUAUACACGUCAUCACCUCCACUACCUCACUUUCACCUUGUCUCUUCCAUUUUUCUCACUAGCCAACUACGCCAUUUUGACAAUCGUCCUCCCAAUUAAGUUUUUCAACAAAAUCAUGUCUAAGAAACCCAUUGAAACGCCUCGAAAGAGUUUCAGAUUGGUUGAAGGAACUUCUACAGAUGAAGUUCAUGCUACACUUGAUAUCAAGCAUAUGAUACAUGUUCCUCAACAAGAAGAUAGUUUCAAGUAUGUAUUUAUAUACUUUACUGCUUUCAUUAGAAAAGGUAACUUAAUUUAUUUCUUAAAAUGUUUUUUCUUGCAAUUUUUUUCAGUGAUUGUGAUUUGUAACAUGUCUAUUUGUUGAAUACAUCAGUAAUGAUGUUUUUGAUAUGCAUUCUGUUGAUAUCGAUGCAAAGUACCAUCGUCAAAGGUAUGCCACAAUCCUAUGACAUUAUGGAAAAAUAAAGAAUGAGGACCUCGCAUAGCAAAAGAAUAUGUUUCGGAUACCACUAAUUAUCCUACACCAAGACCACGGCCAAGAAAUUUGAGAUAGUUGAUUGCACCUUCUACUUUUUUAGAACUACAUGUUAUUUUUUUUAACUUUUGGAUAAUUUUUUUGUGUUUAAGUACUUGAUGAUAUAUAAUAUCAUAUGUUUCUUCCAGUCAGAUACCAUCUACAUAUGAAUUACUGAUUGACUAUUAUAAUUUCAGGAUACUAGUAAUAUACAGACUUCAUACCAGUUGGAUUCAAUUUUUUUAAAGUAUCAGUGUGUUUCCAAACUGUAUAUUUAUUGGAUGAAAUGCAUAUGAAAUCUGAUUAAUAUUUGUAUGACUAUGACUUUAAUAUUUUGAUUUUGGAUAUUGUAUGAGAUAUAAUAUUGGUAUACAAAUGGUAUGAAUUGUAUUUUAACAUUAGUGUGAUUGUCUAUUAACUGUGUAUAUGGUAUGAAUUUUUAAACUGGUAUACAAAUAGUAUGAAUUGUCAAAUUAGUGAUUUUUUCUAAAAAUAUCACAAUAUGCUUACUUUCUAUUCUAAACAUGUUUUUGGAUGAAACGUGCAUGAAAUCUGAUUAAUACUUGUAUGCCUCUGACUUUAAUGUUUGAUUGAUGAUAUAUAAUAUCAUAUGUUUUCUUCAGAUACCAUCUACAUAUGAAUUACUAAUUGUCAAUUAUAAUUUCAGGAUACUAGUAAUAUACAGACUUCAUACCAGUUGGAUUCACUGUUUUUAAAAUAUCAGUGUGUUUCCAAACUGUACAUUUAUUGAAUGAAAUGUGUAUGAAAUCUGAUUAAUAUUUGUAUGACUAUGACUUUAAUAUUUGAUUUGGAUAUUGUAUGAGAUAUAAUAUUUGGUAUACAAAUGGUAUGAAUUGUAUUUUAACAUUAGUGUGAUUGUCUAUUAACUGUGUAUAUGGUAUGAAUUAUUAAAUUGGUAUGAAUUGUCAAACUAGUAUUUUUUCUAAAAAUAUCACAUUAUGCUUAAUUUCUAUUCUAAACUUGUUUUUGGAUGAAACGUGUAUGAAAUCUGAUUAAUAAGUGUAUGCAUCCGACUUUAAUGUUUGAUUGUUGGAUAUUGUAUGAAUUGUGAUAUAAUAUUGUUAUACAAAUGGUAUGCAUUGUGUGAGUAUAUGAAAUUAUGAAUGUUUAUACGAAAUUGAUGAAUGUUUAUAUGAAAUUGAUUUAUUGUUGGUAUAAAUAUGUGUGAUAUAAAUUGAAGUUAGUGUUGGAAUGAAACUUGAACAAGAUUGGUAAAAAAAUUGUUUUAAUUUUAUUUAUAGUAGGACACCAGUUGAAAACCAAAUUAAUAUUCAUGAUAACUUACAUUAAAUACUCAGGAUACCAAAUGCACUCCAUAAUUACCUUGUAUAAUUAUCACUAUAUUAACACUAUCAUAUAUAUAUUAAGCUUGAAUAAAUUUAAUUUCCAGCAGUAUGAAAUUUAUAUGAUUAGUGAAUGAAACACGUAUAAAAAAUGAGCAGUAUAUUAAAUACUUAGUUAUAAUGCAUUUCACACCAAUUAUGUUUCAUAUCAAAACAAAACAUGAGUCAUAAUUAAAAUUUUAUACAGUCUAAACAAAUAAAUAAUCAUUUUUUUUGCACAGGAUAAUUUGAACAUGUCGUCCUGUUUUGGCCAACUUGACGACAUCUACUGCAAGUAACUCUAGACCGUUUGAAUUUCACAUCAGCAAACUCCUUCCAGCGUUCAAGUUGCGAUUUUCCUAUCGUUCUUUUUUGACCGGGAGACAUCAAUUUAGGCUUUGAAACAUAACUUGGUAUAUUCCAUGUACUCUUGCAUAGGAGAGUUUCAACCAUCUAUCAUAAGCUGUGAUGUUAUCGCACUUACUAGACCACUAUAAAGACUAGAAGAUUCAUAUAUAAUCCCUUCCAUAUGAAAAUCAACAUAUUUCCCUGUUUCAUUAAAAAAAAAACAAUUAGUCAUCCAAACAACAUACAAAUUUCAUCCACAAAAUUCAUUAUAAUAACAACAAAAUUAUACACACUUGUCAUUAUCUUUUCAUACAAAUAUCAUUCAAACAAUACUCUACAAAACAGAUUUAAAAAAAAAAAUAUUUCACAUUUCAUACACACUUAAUACAUAUUUCAUAUAAACAAUCAUCACUCAUACCAAAUUUAUACACAAUUGACAAAACUUAUAUAAACAAUAAAAUUUCAAUUUUAAUACCAACUUUAAAACCUUUUCAUACAUUUCUUCAAAAUUCUAAAUAACUUUUUUUAAACAUUACUGAACACACUUUCAUACCAAAUUCAUUCCAUUUAUACUACCAAAUUCAUUCGAAACUAUACAUUUAAUUUAUAUUUUCAGGAAAAAAAUAAGUAUUCAAUAUUAUAAUCUUAAUCUACGAACCCAAUCUACAACGAUAAACAUAUUUAUAUGCUAUACAUUUAUGUUCAAAUCAAUCAUAUAUUGCGCUAAUUUUUCACGAAAUCAACAUUUUAACAUUAUACAAAAUAACCAAAAAAAAAACAAACAAAAAACAAUACCAACACAGUCACUAAUAUUACAGUUUCACAACAAUUAAUACGUAUUAUGAACAAAAUGUUUUGUUUAUACAAAAAAACUAAAAAAUUAACUAUAGUGAUGAUUUACAAAAAGAAAAUCACAUAAUUUGAUUUACAGUUUCAUUGUUUUUUUUUUUUUUUUUCUGAAAUACAAAAACAAAUUAUAAACAAUAACAAAUACUAACCUGAAGGAUCCGAUCUUCCAUCAUGUUUAAUUAAUAUUGAUACGUAGUCGUCCAUCACAACAAAAUCAAGAUUUUUCAAACAAAAAAAAAUUCAAUUAGUCGACAAUGACAAGAUUUCUGGAAGAAAAUUGAAGAGAGAGAAACGUGGGAGAAAAAUAGAUAAAAGCAAAAUUUUUAAUUAAAUUUAACAAAUUAGAGUGAAUUAAGGAAACUGAAUAUUCUUAAUUAGUUUGAAUUUCCUUAAUUCAUAGCUAAUUUAAUAAUUAUCUUCAAUCAUUUCAAAUCUAAUUAACACCCCUAUUUUCAUUUUUUACCUUUUUUUAUUCCAGAAACAUUUUAUUUUAGAUUAUUUUUUUUCCAAAACAAAUGUUUUCAAUUAUUAAAAACUUCUUUUUUUUAAUAAACUGUUAGAACCUGGAAUUUUUAAUGUUACAACUUGAAAGUUUAAUUCUACUAAUAUAACUUGAAAAUAUUAGUCUAAUAUAUGUCAUAUAUUAAAUUUUUCACUAUAAAUAAUUAUGCAUUUAAGCCUAUCCAACCUAACUUUCAUAUCAAUUUAUUAGAGUAAAUGAAGAGAAGACCUUUCACUCCAUGUUCAAAUAGAUAUAACUAUAGUUGUAAUAAAUACAAAAUGGUAGAAGUAAUAAAUUAAGUGUUGGAGUAAAUGAACAGAAUCGGUUGGUGUGAGUUAAAGUAACCAUAUGUUGAUGAGAUUAAUAAAUUUUAUGUCGGUGAAAAUAAUAAAUUUUAAAAAGUAAUGAUGUGAUUAUAAAUUUUAUUUACAUAUGAAAUAAAUGGUUAGUAGAUAUAAAUGUGGGGUUGUUUUAACAAAAUAUAAACUCGUGGAUUAAUUUUUGUAUUAAAAUAUUUCAAAUCAUGAUAUGAAAUUCCCAUAUAAUCCAUAUCAUGGUUUUUGAAGAAUAUAAAAUCACAUCUCAUAAUAUGGAAUCAUGAGAUGAAAUCAGCGUAAAAUCGCAUAUUCAAACGCUGAUUCUAUCUCACGAUACUAUAUCGUGAUUUGGUAUCGCAUGACCAAACGCCUACUAAGUUUGUACGGGUGAGGUGGAGUGGGGGAUACAACCUUUCUCUCACAAUUGUAUCUGAACUAUCCACCUCUUCCUUCCCCUCACUUGGCCCAAUGAGAUUAGAUUCUUUAUGACGCUAAUCAAUUAUUUAAUUAGAUUAGUACCGGUAUUCAAAUUUAAUUUAAAACCUAUUUGAAACAAUUAUUAAAUGUUAUGAACCUAUGUGGAGUUAUAAUUUUUCUAAAGGGCAUGUUUAUUUAAUUUCAAACACUUAAGGGCCCUUUUUCAGUAAAAUUAUGUUGUAUAAUAGAGUAUGGAACAAGUUGAGUAAAAGGACAAAAACUAAACGGACAAUAUUUUUAACCAGACUCUUAACCAGGGUUGCAUAGGAGUUAGGAAUAGACCGCCGUGCACGAUUAGUUUAACCGGCCCUAGGGUAAAACCUAGGCUCCUAAUCCAGCCUAUAAAUGAAGGCAAUUUCUUCGUAAUUUUUCCUCAGCUCUUCCUUCACUUUCUCUUCAGGGUUUCUCUAGUAGUCUCUCUGAAAAAAAAUGGCCGACGUUGAAUACAGGUGCUUCGUCGGUGGUCUGGCAUGGGCCACCACCGACCAAACACUUUCGGAUGCUUUUUCUCAGUACGGCGAAGUGGUCGAAUCCAAGGUCUGUUGCAGGGCAGAGAUCGGAUCCGAGCCUUUGGCUUCGAUGACCCUCUGUUACUGAAUUGUGAUCUGUUACUAUUCUCUGGUUUACUUGACUGUUACUGUUACUGUUACUCUAUGUUACUGUUACUAUUUGUUACUAUUAUUCCAAUUCCCCGAAACGGUACGUUCCGUCUUCCUCUGUUUAUACACGAGAUGAAGAUAGAUCGCUUUUGUGUUUCUCCCCCUCAUGUUUUUUUGUUCAGAUCUGCUUUGUUUUGGUUGUUAUUUUGUAGAUCUGUUUGGAUCUGACGUAAUUGUUAUGGUUUUUAUUUCUAUUUUUCAGAUCAUCAAUGACCGGGAAACUGGUAGAUCUAGAGGAUUUGGAUUCGUUACCUUCAAGGAUGAGCAAGCCAUGAGGGAUGCUAUUGAAGGGAUGAACGGCCAAGAUCUUGAUGGUCGCAACAUCACCGUGAACGAAGCUCAAUCCCGCGGAGGCGGUGGAGGUGGAAGAGGCGGUGGUGGCUNNNNNNNNNNNNNNNNNNNNNNNNNNNNNNNNNNNNNNNNNNNNNNNNNNNNNNNNNNNNNNNNNNNNNNNNNNNNNNNNNNNNNNNNNNNNNNNNNNNNNNNNNNNNNNNNNNNNNNNNNNNNNNNNNNNNNNNNNNNNNNNNNNNNNNNNNNNNNNNNNNNNNNNNNNNNNNNNNNNNNNNNNNNNNNNNNNNNNNNNNNNNNNNNNNNNNNNNNNNNNNNNNNNNNNNNNNNNNNNNNNNNNNNNNNNNNNNNNNNNNNNNNNNNNNNNNNNNNNNNNNNNNNNNNNNNNNNNNNNNNNNNNNNNNNNNNNNNNNNNNNNNNNNNNNNNNNNNNNNNNNNNNNNNNNNNNNNNNNNNNNNNNNNNNNNNNNNNNNNUGGCGGUGGAGGUGGAGGAGGCGGUGGUGGCUACGGAGGUGGCCGACGUGAAGGCGGUGGUGGCGGCUACGGUGGCGGCGGCGGCUACGGAGGUGGCAGACGUGAAGGUGGUGGCGGCGGCGGCUACAGUGGAGGUGGUGGCGGCUAC